rnacentral:lncRNA from 1 species
UUUUUUCAUUGAAAAAUGUCAGACCUAGAUUCUUCCGAUUCAGAGAGUGUAGAUUCUGAUACUCAGGUAAAUUUCAGCUGUAUAUAACAAAUGACGACAGUAAAAGUUUAGGGGAAGUCUGCUAUUCGACUGUCGUUUUCAAGAGGUUUCAUCAGACAUCAGUUCAUCAUCCCAGGUUGGUUCACAGGGGUUUGUUACAAUUGCCGGGUUUACUAAUACUAUCCAUACGAACCCCUUUUUUAGAAGUUCGUAUGGAUAGUAAACCUGGCAGUUGUAACAAACCCCUGUGGUUGGUUCUAACACGUACAACUUAUUUGAGCUUAUGUAGCUUGCUUUUCACAUUUGACAGGUUGGGAACAAACCCUCUAUAUGGUGAUUAUACCUGUAUAGAGGGAUAAUCCUUCUAUAGAGGGGUAUUUUUGUUUAGACUGGAUUUAUAUCAAAAUAGGGCAGAAUGGCAUUCUCUACUUAUUAUGGCAGUAACCUGGAACAGUUGAUGCACCAAUUGAUGUAUUUAAUUUAAUAUGCACAUGCCCAGUUUGAUGCUUAUCCGACUAAAUAUAAAAUCUAUUGUUCACCAUGAUUGAAAGCUGUGAUGAUCAGGAAAAUUCUACUCACUUAUGCCUCACUGAACAGAAUUUCUAUUGUUAGAUUAGUCCGAGAUUACUCUGAUGUCCAACGGCUGUUUUGACAGACAAGCUGGGGCCGUGGGACGUCAGAGCUCGUCCAUAUCAAAAAGUGAUAUUUGCCACCCAAAUAAUGCGAUCUUGUCGCUUCUGGUGCCGACUGACGGCUGAAUUAUAUAAAUCGGCAUCAAUCUGUUCAUUUUCAUUAUUCUUCAUUUAUGUAAGUUUCACUUACUGCCAACAAUUUAUUUUCUCAUUAUUAGACAUUUUCACAGUGACCAUAGAUUUCGCAUUUUGACUUUCACUUCAAAUGGGUCAAGUUACGAGAGAGUUCAUGUUCGAGACUCAAAAUAUGCAAAUAUUUUAUUUUUUCACCUCUUUAUAGGUGAUGAUGUUAAACAUUACAAGAACCAUGAUUUUUCACCCCUUUACAGAUGGAUGAAGCAUUUAGUUCCGACACGUUACAAUCGAAGCUCUCGGACAUUAGAAACUUCAUCGUAAUGACAGUGUUAAUUAUGGUCAAUUUGCAUAAAUAUCACUGUUUUCUCUGGUCAUGUGAUAAUCUUGAAAAUGAAAGGCAAAAUGCCGAAAUCAAUGGUCACUGUGAAAAACGUCUAAUGAUGAGAAAAUAAAGGUGCAGUAGGUGAAACUUACAUAAAUGAAGAGAUAAAUGAAAAUGAACAGAUUAUGCCCAUUAUUAAUUCCAAGGCCAUCAGUCGCACCAGAAGGACAAAGCAGCGCACUAUUUUGGUGGGCAAAUACCACUUUUUGAUAUGGACGAGCUUGACGUCCACGGCCCGCUUGUCUGCAAAACAGCCGUGACGUCAGAGUAAUCUCGACUAUUGUUAGAUUUAACAUGAAAUUUAAGGUCAACUAUUCCUUUGUUGUUGAUCAGGGUUCAGAUAGGUCUACAAUAGAUCAAGUUUGUCACUUUAGCAGAAAAUGUAUCCCAGUUUUUAAGUAAGUGCAUAUUUGAUGUAUAAUGCUAGAUUAUAGCCAAUAUAACUAGAAAAUGCCGUCUGCCCCAAUUGCUUUAAAUCCAGUGCAAAACAAAAAACCCCUCAUAGAGGAAAUUUUAUCCUCUAAAGACGGAUUAUCCCUGUAUACAGGUAUAAUCACCAUACAGGGGGUUUGUUCCCAACCUGUUUGAAGUUACAUGUAGACUGAGCUAUUAAAAUCUAUCCAAGUUUCUGCAUUAGUAAUUGGAGUAUCCUUGUAAGACCAAUAACAGACUCACUCAGAAUAUGCCAGUGCAGUAUCAUGUAUGGGAUGGUAUCGGGUCUGUCAUUUAUUUUUAUUUCAUAAAUAAUUUAACUGAAUACAAUUAUUUUGUUAACACAUAUCAAUAAAGAUAAAUGCAUUGUAUAUAUAUAUAUUCUACUAUGCAAAUCAAAGGGAAAAUAGUAAAUUGGUUGCGGCAAUACAAAUAUUCAGUCAAUUUUUCAACAAACUUUAACAUUUUCUGUUCAACUAAUAAACAUAAUGCAACUUGACAAUAAUUACAAAAAAAAAUAAAAAUCAGGGCGAAUAGACUCUGGGUGAACAGAUAUCACGGCGAACAUGUACAAGGGCUAACAGACCCGGAUUCAUAUGGGAUCCAUACAAUAUAACAGAAAUCACUUGAACAAAGACAAAAAGAUGCAAGACUUACCAUAGAUAUAUAUAGGAAGAUAUGGUGUGAGUGCCAAUGAGACAACUCUCCAUCCAAAUAACAAUUUAUAAAAGUAAACCAUUAUAGGUCAAUGUACGGCCUUCCACACAGAGCCUUGGCUCACACCGAACAACAAGCUUUAAAGGGCCCAAAAUUACUAGUGUAAAACCAUUCAAGUGGGAAAACUAACAGUCUAUAAAUCUAUAUAAAAAAGCUCUUCAAAAUAGAAAGUGAGAAAGUUGCUGUAACAAGGGAAAAUUGUCUGAUUCCACCUAAACGAUUGUCAAGAAAUAUGCAUGACAGAAGCUUCCAAAUUUCAGCAGAAUUAUAGAAUUACCGGAAAUAUUCCUUCUUUCCACCAACCAUCAAAGAUUGGAACACUCUCCCUCCUGGGGUAAUAUCAGCACCAUCAGUCAAGGCUUUUAAUCCUUCCCUACAGGCAUAUUAAUGAUCCUAUGGGUAAUUACAUUCUAAUACUUUACAGCCCUUGUAAAAAAAUAUGUAAUGUAACCACUUGCUCAGAGAUUAUAUCCUUGGUAAACAAUAGACACCACUUUAUUAAAUGAUACAUUUUGUAUUUGCCUUGGAGAGGUAAGAGGAAGAUGUUGUUAGUGCCCAAGAUGUAUAACCUAUUGACAGUUACAGUUACAGACCGGCAUGUUGAAGCACAGAGUAGACAACAACUCCCUUUUAGAAUGACACACUAGACUGCAUGCCAAUUGAAAUGAAGACAUAAAGUUUCAGAAAGGGCUUUCUCUACGUGGACAAAAAUUCUGUGGCUGAUUAGAAAUGAAGAAAAUAAGAUUUCAGGAAGAAAAACAACACUAUUUUUUAUGACAGGUGUAUCAAUUAAUCAACUAAUGAAAGUGGUGUAAAGAUCAAAUGGUUUACAUGCAGUCAGUGAUCGGAAAGGACUUGCGCCCUGCGCCUAUAGCACAUAUCGACCAGAAAUGGCGCAUAGAGUGAACAAUGUAAGGGCCCACGUGGCGCUCGAUAUUUUUCACUUCAUUUCGAAACAUUUAGAUAUCGUCAAAUGGAUUUCUGAUCGUACUAUAUUGUGUUCCUUGCCGCCAUGUGUGUGUACACAACUGUGUAAUGUUCCUCCAAUAUAGAGCACCUAUAUAAUUUUUGGGACGUCCGGGUGUUUUUAGGUAAUAAUAAACCAUGCGGUAUAACGAUUCCAAAAAAUCGUAAUUAACCAUCAUUCAUGAUAAUUUUUAUAACAACUUUAAAUUGAUUUGUCUAGUACAGACAAGAUUUUUCUAACAUAGUCUUUUAAGUUAGCUUAGCUUACUAUAUUCGAUUGAAAAACCAAAGCCUUUUCAUGAUAUAGUUUUUUGUCUCCAUAAAAAGGUGCUUAACUUUCUUGUCAUUUUUUGGUCUUUGGCUCGUUUGACAUUUUUAAACAUACUUCAGCGAAUUAUUGUUUGUUCUAUAAUUAAUAUACUCUCUACUGUUAUUCUUGUCAUCGUGAUGAAGUAAUGAUAAUACAAGAAGUGCAGAGGAAAUGCCAGAAACAUCUUCUAAAUACAAAGCGUCUGGAAUAAGUAUGGUAUCGACGAAGACCCAAAUUUAAUGUAAAAAAAAACAAGAACAUGAACAUCAACAUACCAGUUUUAACAUUGUAAACAAAGGUUCUCUUAAAUGUUGUCCGGUUUGGAAGAAGUUAUUGUAUAUUCAUUGAAAUUGAAAUCAAUAAAAUCACAGGAGCAAUAUCCAAAAUAUUAAUUAUAAUCAUAAAGGUAAGUACCACCACCUCUUAGCAUACACUCUUUUUUUUUACUGUAGUCAAUUCAAAUGGCCCACUCAUUUGACAACAUGGCCCAUUGAAUUUAUUUUUUGGGGGCCCUGGGCCCAUUGAGAAAAAAUCCUUCCAGAUCACUGGCAGUAAACUUCAUAUAUUUCCUCUAGAAAAUAUCAAAUGAGGCAAACACUUACAGGCCUAAGGAUAGUAAAACCUUUCUAUUACUGUGGUAAAAUUUAUUUUUGUGAGUAUCAAUAUCACCUGGAUUCAGAAACAUUUGUAUUUUCCUGGAUAUUAGAUUUCAUGGUUUUUACAAACUCUGCAUACAAAGCCUGUAGAAAAUUUGUACUUAUUUGAAUAUUUGAAUUGGUGGUUACCUGUACCCACCAAACCGACAAAAAUUGGUAUUAAAUGAAUAAUAAUGAAGCCUCAGCAAUGCUCAGUAACUGUCAUUAUAAUAUUUGAACAUAAACAGCAAUUAGUUUAUGAAUGUUAUAUAUUCUUGCAGUUGCAAUUAGACUUCAGUUCUGGUAAACUGAAACCUGGACUAAAUGUAGCUCUGCCAGCCAGUAUAGAAAAACAUUAUAUCAACGAUGUGGUAAGUAUCUUUUUCUAUUAUGUUGAGAGAAGUUACACAGUUCACAAAGGAGAAAAAUAUUUGUUUGUGUAUCUGUAAUAAGAAUUUAAUAUAAACUAACUGGCAUAGUAAUGUCAGAAAAGUAUAAAUAAAAACAUAUUAUUAAACAUAGAGCAGCCACUUAAAAAUUCAAAGGUUUUUUUUUGUCUUUUUACUGUGUAUUGGAUCAUAUGUUUGCUUGAAAUUGGCAUUUGAUUGUUAUUACUUUUAACUAAUAAUUCAAACUAGAAUAAUAACGUGAAAGAAAAUCUUUAAUAAUAAGUAAAUGGGACACUCCUGAUUUUUGGGAUACGAUUGCUUUCAAGCAAUCUGUAGACUUUUACCGUUGACUCAGGGCUACAUUCCCUCACGUCAACCGUUUUAUUCUAAACAUUCAGCAACAUCUCAGAUUCUUAUGAUUGUCUUCUUAAAAGGUAAAAACAAGCAAAGGAUUGAACAUAAACAACUUUCCUGUAUGUUCUUCUCAUAAUCUCAUGUUUGAUAUUUCCCCUUGACCUAUAUGCGUGUUUCUAACAACACGAAAAUCAGAAUUAAGCAGUAUUAUAUUUAGCGUUUUUAUAAUUUAGAAACACGUCAGAGGGAAUGCCCCAGUUUUGAUUAAUGCGAGAGUUCUCUGAAUUCGGAUAAUUCUAUUUCUGUCAUAUAAGAACUGAAGUGGAGUUUUUCCAUAUUUUACCGUUAUGAAACUGAUAUUUGAUACUGUACUCUCAUAAAGAAAUGGAGAACCAUUCAUCAUAUCAUUUAAUAAACGUUCUAGUUCCAAAUCGCAAGUCGCGGUUUGUUUUAUGUAUUUAUGCGCAUGCGUAUAGUUUUCUGAUUUCAAGGGUAUCAGAUGAGUGUUGCUCUUCGAUUCCCCGCUUCAUUGGUUAAUUGAAACCAUGGGAUUCUUUUCUAUGUCUGUCUGCUAUUGAGGGUUAUUGUUGUUGCUAAUUUUAAAUCAUACUGCAUCAUUUAAAUUAAAAUAAAUGUAGUGUUUACCUAUAAACCCCUUCAGCCGAAUGAGUCUUCCAUAUUAUGUUUCGAGUUGUCUCCUUCCGGAAGUAUUUCCGUCAAAAUCGAAAUACAUACGAUCGUCAAGAAAAAUUAACUCGUUAGAUGUCGAUUAAACGUGUAUUAUAUUAAGAACGAUCUCAAUUAAACAGAGGAUGUGUACGGAAAGGAAUCAUACCCACGACCAAGGAAAUUAAUAUUUAAAGAUUAGAAAUGAGGUUCCUCCUAGAUUAACGGUGAUUAAGAUACGAAGUGAAAUACCUUCUCUCACUCUCAGUGACUGCUGUGGAAAGUAAACUUGGAAUUGAUAGUAAAAAAAAUAAAACAUAAUAAGUACAUUGCUCAUACACUUGUAUCCGGGAUUGGCUAUUUUUAAAGUUGAGUGACUAUUCAGAUUAUUACAUUUUUUUUAUAGUUUUGAAAAUGAUACUAUCCAGCUGUACCAGGGCUGCCAAAAAUGCGUGAGACUCACGCAUGUUCAUGCUUUUUUGCGGCAGUAUCCUUGGAUCUAUUUAUUUUCCCUCUUGAUCUUUGUUCAAUUUUGGCCAAAUCUCACGCAUUUGCUUAAUAAAAGUUGGCAGAACUGCAUACAUGUGUCAGUGAAAACUAUGGCAAUCGAAUCCCUCAGAGCAUCAUGCUCUUUGAUUUUAUAUAGACAUUUAUCAUGUUUAUAUGUUUGUUGUGUUUAACAAAUACAUUAAUUUUGUAAUUUGGAUGUAAGACUGCAGGUGUUGCAGAUAGCUGAAAAUCAAAAUGAGUUGACCAAUUCAUAUUUUAAAUAAUACCUUAAUGUUUAAGAAAACAAAAUUAUUUCCUCAAAAUUCACAAUUUGUUUUUUACUUAAAGGGGCACUAGCUGUCACAUUCGUGGUGACCGAUUUGACUCAAAUUCUCAUAUUUGAUUUAUAAUAGUGUAAAACAUUUAUCCAAACUACCAAAAGUCUAAAAUAAACAGUUUACAGAGCAUGGGGUAGAUAAUAUGUAGGUUCGUUUCGUGUGUAUUUUAGUCCAGACGCCAUCUAAUUAACUAUCGAUUUGACAUGAAUGAAGAUAUGAAUAGAUUAAACCAACACGUGCAAUUGGAUUUUUUUUUAGGUCUGUUUGAGUUUAUUUUAUAGAUUAAAAAUAUAUGUUUCUCAUUGCUUUAACCGUAUAAGACGUAUAAGAAUGAUUUAAUAUGGAUCGAAUCAGUAUUCAAAUGAUUUACCGUAGUUUUUCCUGUUGCUUUUUCUUUAAUAACCAGUACACGUACAAUGCAUGCGUUGUCAAUCUCUAGCAAGGGGUUAAAUUGAAGUUCACAUGAAUAUAGAUUUAAUGAGGUCGACUAAUUCACUUGCAAGUGAAUGAGUAAUUAUCAAUGUUUCUUCGCUUAAUUUGACAAAAUUGAACCAUUUUCACGGCGACACUCGGCUAACCGAGAGAUAGGUCGGUUAAUCUAUAUUGAGUAUGCGGCUAUAUCGGCGGUUGGUCUGUUAAUCGGGUUGGUUAUACGUCUGUUAAGAGUAAAACGCACAAUUUUAAUAUUAAAAUCUAUUUAAUAUACAGAUUUUAGGUACAUUAUAAGAAUCAAAUCAAAAAAAGAAAAGUGUCUGACAAAAUGAUAUAUAUCAUAGAACAUUUUCCAACUGUAAAAACAUUUCAUAGUCUGCGCAGUUUUCAGUAAAACUAAAAGGCGUCGCGCAAGUAUGUAGUAUUUAUGCUUAUACGCAUAGCAAUUUUUGUAAUGAAAGGCGAAAAAAACAAUUUUAGAUAUCAUUUAAAGGACACAAAAUCGUACUUUGGUUCUAAAAUAUAAAUUGAAAUUAGUAAAUAUUUCAUAAUUGUAAUAUAACGUGAGUAAUACCACGUUUUAGUGAACAUUAUGGGAAUAAAGUCUGUUAAUGGGUUGGACAAUUGAAAUUGUGUCAGUUAAGAGUUAUUUAGCCACGACAAUAGUUGUGCUACCUUUAUAUUUUCCCUUUGAAAAAGUUAAGAAUGAGAUGCUCUUGAGUAAAAAAAAAUGACAAUACGCUGCAACAGUAUCCUUCUAGUAAGAACAUUUUUAUUUUGACUUCCUUUGCAUUUUAUUAAGGGGUGUGUCACUUCAAUAUAUGGAUAUGGAUUGCCUGCUGGAAUAUGCAUGAAUCUAUUAUUAACGUUUUCUUCAGCCUUAAUUUUUGUGUCUGUUCAAAGUAGCACGUUCUCAAAUCCGUCCGAAAGUGUCUUUCUAAUACAACACAGGGUACAUAUAACGUGUUGUCGUUCUCAUAUGCACAUGAUAUUUGUCACUGGACGUUAAACUCUAAAUCGUCAACAUCAUCCGAUUGGUUCUUUUCUUCUAUUACUGAAUCAUCUGUUGUUUACAAAUCAGUCUAAAGAAGUAAAUGGAAAGGAGCGAAUGCAGCUACAUUUGGUUAUCUUAAGUUUUAAUUCAUUUUAUUCCGUUUAGUUCCUUUCUACAUAAGUGCAGAGGAGAACUGCAGUUGUCCGCAUGUAAACUUUUAGCAUUUAUUACCAAUAUGAGUACAUAGCAAUCCGUUACUGUUUCAACACCCAGGGGUGUUUCAUGUCUUUAUUCUCAAACAGUUAUUAUUUUUUUCUAUCUUUUUUUAUUAAUGCAUCACUUCCUACUGUCCUUAUCUAUUAUUCUAUAUAUUCUGUGUUUCCAUCCAGAUUCUCGUGUAUACAAUGAGGGUCCGGAUUGGGGGUGUUGUUUAUUUCUAUAUUCUUUAAAUUGUCUGUUACUUUUCUCUACAUUUUAUUUUAUCUUACUCAUUAUUAUUUCUUUAUUCUUUAUAUAUUCUAGCAUCCCAAUAUAUUUUACUUACUGAUGUUUAGUUACAUUACGACGUUUAUCUCUGAUUUAUAUACUGGUUAAUACCAAUUUAGAUACAAAUUAGUGUCAUUCAUGACAACCUAAACAGAAUCCACAUGAUAUAUGCGACCAUUCUUGGAUGAAAUCAAUAUGUAUAGAUUAUAACAUGCCCUUUUCUAUAUUAGCCCUGGUAUCAUCCCGAGACUCCCAUAUCGGCCUCGAGGCUUUAGCCGAGGGCCGAUAUGGGUCGAGGGAUGAUACCAGGGCAAAUAUGGAAAAACAUGUUAUAAUCUUUAAGCUAUUUAUCACAUAUUUAAGUGUUGCAGAAAAGAGGGAAAAAAGUUCAAUUAUAACAAUUUAAUGAAACAUAACAGGUAAAUCUUAAAAAUUUAUCCGUAUCCGUAACAAAUAUGUGAUAAGAUAUAAAUAACACAUAGCUGAGAGGGUGAUAGAGCAGAUUGGGUCCCGAGAAAACAUUGUCAACCGCGGCGAAGCCAAGGUUGACAAUGUUUUUUCGAGGGAUACCGAUCUGCUCUAUCACCCUCUCAGCUAUGUGAUAUUUGAUUUAUUAUAAUGAAUGUCCUAUCAUCAUUUUCUUUAACAGAUGAGUUUUAUUAUAAAGUAUUUUCUAUGUACAUGUAGUCACGUACUUGACAGCGUAACGGGUAUUUGAAAAAUCAUCAGAAGUGAAGUAAAUAGACAAUAGUAGUGCAUUGACUUGACAUAUAAACGAUACAAGGAUUAGGCCCGAAACGGGAAAAAAGCUCUGCUAUCAAGAAAAAAAAUAUUUUCAAUUGUUGUUAUUUUGUUAUUGUUAUUUAUUUUAUUUAAAUUUUGGGUAAAUACCCCUUUCAAAAGGCCUCAUAUCUGGCUGAGAAAUAUACAUCACAAUGAACAUGAUGAAAUGUACAUCACCAGUUGAAACCCAUCGAUGGUGAACGAAUGCGUUUAAUAUCAACAAUAAGCAUAACACACAAUGAUUUAUAGGUUUUCAAGUAAAUACAAGUUUUUCCAACAAUUGUAAAAGAAAUAAGUUUGAGUCGUUCCACGCUUCGUUGUAUAGUAAAUUAGAACUUUAAGCAUUGUCUAUAAAAUAACUUGAUGUAGAUUCAAUUCAUUGUCGUUUAAACUGCCGAUUUUUGAUUGGUCUAGCCGAGAGGGUGACAUUCCAAAAAAUUGUCACCCGCUCAGCCAUGUGAUAGAGUAAAUUAACACCUUCGUAUUAGGCAAUCAAAAUAUGGCAUUUUAACAUGAUGUAUAAUAAUACUUUAAUAUUACACUUUUUUAUAUCAGUUUUCAAUAUUCAUGGCCUAAAUUCAUUGUUCAUGUCAGUGUUUCCGUAUAUAUUAUGUUUCAUUGCUCAUGUGUUGUUUCCGUAUAUUUUAGCCACUCGUCUUGAGCCUACCCAUUUGAUCCGAUAACACCCCAUACAGCAAUAAAAUUAUACUUUUAUUGCCAUUCAUAACUCUUAACAGACCAAUUAACAGACCGGGUUUUAUACAUCCGACCCAUUAACAGACCAGGUUUUAAAUAAAGAUUGAUUUAUGUCACCAAAAUACAGAUUUUUGUGUAGAUUUUUCACACAAUGAUAUCAAUUUGGUUGACAAACAUAAUGCCUGUCUUUGUUCGAUGUUCAAAAUAUCGCAUGCAAGUAAAUUCAACCAACGUGUCUUAUUGUGUACAUUUUGUGUGUGUAAAAUGUGUAUAAAUUUAUUGAUGAGUAACACGCCUUUUCAUUUUAUAGAUCGUACAUCGAAGCUAGAAAAAUAAUAAUUACACCACUGGAUUCAGUACAUGAAAUUGUUUUGUUAGACAUGAAUAAUUUUUAUGAUAAACAUAUAUUUAAAAAGUUAUACAAUGAAACAUGCAGAAUUUCCAAGUAUUUCCUCGAUAACACCUGAUUAACAGACUUUAGCCAACACGAUUAACAGACCCACCGCCGAUAUAGCCACAUACUCAAUAUAGAUUAACCGACCAAUCUCUCGGUUAGCGAGUGUCGGCCGUGUAGUACAUGCAUUCAGUCAUACUUAUUAAUAAUUUCUUAAUAUUUCGUUUAUCAGUUUAUUUUACAUGUUUGAUUUUGUAUUUCGUUUUAAAUACGCAUGCAUAUUUCACGUCACUUUGGUGGAUAGUUUAACAAUGUUAUGCAUAUCACUUUCUUACUGUGUUAAAUUAAAGGAGAGGUUUUUAGCCAGUUUAAAUUGAAAACAGUAUAUUUAUAUUGUUCCUUAUAAAUAACGAUAAGAUUUUGUUUUUAGUUCCACACAAACAAAAGAAAAAAUCUUCUCCGAUGUAACAUUUCAUUCCUUUUUACACCAAAAUGCCUUCACUGAAUUCAUUUGAAUUUCGUGGUGAUCAUGAUACAUUGCAUACUACGUCUUCAUUUUUUUGCACGUGUACAAAUGAUAUGAUUAUUAUUUUUUGGUUUUUUUUGUAUCUAUAUUUCGGGGACAAUUUGCUCCGUUUAUGAUACGUAAAUUCUUAAUGACCAAACGCUUAGCUACUGCGUAACUUUCUGUAUCUUCGUUUUAUAGCGUGAAAACACUAAAAGAGGAAUAUGCAACCCAUUAUAAGUUUUUCAUGUUUUUGUAAUUAUUGUAAUGGAUCAGCAUUAUGAGAUCCUUAUUAUAAGUAACUACGACAUUGAAAGAAAUUAAAAGCGGUUAGUUAAUCAUGUAUAAAAGCGGCACAUAUAUUUUAUGUUAUCCUUGCUUGUUUCAUAAUGAGGUACAUUAUGUACACAAUGAUUAUGUUGCCGCAGUAUAAUAUUUCGACACAACAAUUUGAAAUUCACAAAACAUUUAUUUAAUUCUUUUGAUCAAAGAUUUGUAAACUAUACAUUGUCAAAUCCUUGUUUUUACGUUCGUAGUAACAUACUACAUUCCAUAGUCAGUCACCUGUGUCAAUUCACGUGCAAACUACAAAUGUUGUUGCAUUUGAAUUUACACGGACACUUUUUAUGAAUAGAAUGACUCGUGCAUGAUAAGUGAGUUCAUGGGCACUUUAACUUUGAAUUAGAUUUGAACUUUUUGGUUCACCGACUUAUUUCCUGUCUUUUUAUUGAACAAAAUAUUUACGUUGGCAUCAAUAUCUUUUUUCAAACAUUUCCAGUUAAAUACUAUUCAUAUCAGUACACUAAGGGUUAAGACAUUUAACUUCAAAAAGGGGGGUAUGGUUUUCUCCUUAAAUAGAUAUUUUGAUCCCAAAUUUUAUGAGAAAAAAUUUAUUAUGGUCAAGCAGAUGACAAAUAAGUGUUCUGCAUGAUUCCUGAUUUUCCGAAUACCGUUAAUAGUGCUAAUUUAAACAAAAACAUUUGGGUGAUGGCGUUGAAAUCAAAAGUAAAUAGUUAAUAUACUAAAAAAAGAACAUACCGCCCCCUUUAUGAAGCAAAAUAUUCGGUCAAUAAAUGUUUUCUUCAAUAUAUGGACAUGAAUAGUAUUUUGGACAAUGCUGAAAGUAAAGAAAUGCUGAUACCUACGUGUAUAUUUCAAUAAAAAUAAGACAGGAAAUAAGUAAAUAAAAAUCAAAUCUAAUAUCAAAAGAUAAAGUCCCUAACAACUCACCAAUGCACGAUUGAUCCUAUAAACGAAAAGUGUUCAUGUAAUACUCGUCCAAAUAAGCAGCAAAUCUAGAAGAAAAUCAAUAAACUUAUGUCAUCAAUUUUGGGUGGAAAGCUGCGAUUGGAUCAUAUAUUAACACGUGUUUAAUCCCGAUCAACACUUGCAAAUCUAGAGACGAGCACGAAUUAAAAAAAAAAUCAAAAUAUAUGCCUGAAUAUAUAUAAUAUUAAGACAAAAUCCAUUUUUUUCAUAAACAUUUCAUUCACUAUUGAAGUAGACAAUUCAUUCUUUUGAUACAUUUAUAUUGUCAUCGAAUUUAUAUCAGUGACGGAUCCAGGUCAAAACAGGGGGGUCCAACUUUGUGUCCCCAUUUAAAUGCAUUGAUCGUCCAAAAAGGGUUGUUCCAACCCCUGCGACUCCACCACUGAAUAUUGAAUUAAUGUAUUUUGCAACAAACGCGCGAUUUUUACACUUUUUUUUACUUUUUACGGGGGAUGGAAUGGCACACCCUACAUUUUUUUUUAUCAAAAAUAAAGAUCACAGCCUCUUUAUUUUAAAAUGAAUUAGACCCCCCUUCUCCGCUUUCCGUUUCAUUGAUAAAAAUCAAACGUUAUCUUACUUACCACUUAAAUAUUUCUUUAAUACAUUACCUUUUUACGAAGUUGCAUUUUAAAAAGUCUUAAAUGUGUACAUCAUUCAUCUUUUACUUGAAAUGGUUCUUUUUUUUUUUUAUCAAAUUAUUAGAUUCCUGAAUUUAUUUUUUUUCUUGAAAAAAAAUCUCGGUUGAAGGGAAAUGAAAAAAAAAAUGUGUUUAUACUAUAUAUAGUAUGAUAACUUACAUAUACUGCUUUAUGGCUAAGUUUCUCAAAAGUUAAGUCUUGCUAAAAGUAUUAUUACUUUCUUGAAACGUCAUACAAGUCAGAUAAAAAACAAAAGUAACAAAAGAAACAGGCCGGUUACAACCAGCCGAAUAGUUUUUCUGCACUUGUAGUCAGGUCAUGGUCCUCGGCUAUCGCCUCGGACCUUGACCUGACUACUUGUGCAGAAAAACUAUCCGGCAACGGUUGUUACCGGCCUGUUUCUUUGUUACCUUUGUUUUUUAUCUAAUACUUGUUUGUUUGUGAUACGCCAGAAUGUUAUCAAUGAACGACCAAACGCUAAAGGUGACUGCAUUUCAGAGUUAUCUGUUGUAAGAAGUAUUUUCAAGGGUAAAAGAUUAAUGACUGGAGAAUUGCAGGAAGUUGUCAAAGUUAUAGGUACCUGGAGACAGGACAACUUUUUUUAAGCCCCCUCCCUGUUUUCUAAACUCCCUUAUUUCUUGGUUUUUUUUUUUUUUUUUUUUUAUCAAUUUCAAUUAUUUCACGCUUUCUUUAUAUAAUUGUACAUUAUCAAUAAAGUAUAUUUGCUAUUCGCUAAGUCUAUCAAUUCGAAGUUUAUCAUCCAUGGCGGUCACUGAUAUAUAAUAUAGAGAGUCUCUGUAUGUUAUAGUAGUAUGAUCAUAGUGUACAUGCAGAUACACGCAAACAUAACUGUUUGGUCCCCCAAGUACUAAUGACAAGUAUGUGUUAUUUUAAACAGACAAACGGAAGUCUUGUCUAUGACUUAACAGUCCGUCCACUGACGGAAACAAUAUCUGGACGCCUUAUUUUCGUUUUUCUCCCAAAAUAACUGAAUAAUAAUAAGAAUGGAUGACAAAUGCGACUAUACAUUGUACCUAUAGAAUAUAGAGGCAUGGUGAUUAUUAUUGUAGAAGGAAGAGAAUUUACACACAAAAUGAAGUCUUCUCGUUUAAUAGUGUAGAUGAUUACAAUUGUUUACUUGCGCAAUCAUGAGAAUUAACGCUUAUAUAAUUACCAGACGAUGUGGUAUGAUUACAAAUGAGACAACUAUCCAAAACAGAUGAACGAAAUCAGAUGUAAGCAACUUAAGGUCACAUUGUACGAAUAAAAAUAAAAACGUGACUUUUCGAGUAAUAUUCAAUCAUAAUUAUAUAAAAAAAACCAAAUCAUUGUAAAAUAAUUUUUUAAUAUAUAUGAUCUUUAAACAGUACCUUACUUUACAACAUAUUAUAUACGAACUGAUACAGUUGAAAUACAGGUAAACACUGCUGGUGGACGUUUCGUCCCCGAGGGUAUCACCAGCCCAGUAGUCAACACUUCGGUGUUGACAUGAAUAUCAAUAAUGUGGUCAUUUUAAUAAAUUUCCUGUUACAAAACUUUGAAUUUUUAGAAAAACUAAGAAUUUUCUUAUCCCAGGCAUAGAUUACCUUAGCCGUAUUUGGCACAACUUUUGGGAAUUUUGGAUCCUCAAUGCUCUUCAACUUUGUACUUGUUUGGCUUUAUAAAUAUUUUGAUAUGAGCGUCACUGAUGAGUCUUAUGAAAACGAACCGCGCGUCUGGCGUACUAAAUUAUAAUCCUGGUACCUUUGAUAAAUAUAAACAUCAAAAUGCGAGUCCUUAAAAGAACCCCAUAAUCAUGUAAUGACAAAUAAAUAGGCUGUGAUCACAAUAGUUUUAGAAACUUCUUUCAAUUAGUUUUAUGCGACGACAAGGGGUACGCGGAUUGACUGGACUAUCUUAACGUUAUAAGUACAUGUCCUAACUUACUGGGAUAUCUGCAUUUGAACUCUGGUGGAUAGUUGUCUCAUUGAGAAUCAUACCACAUCUCCUUAUUUUCAUACUGUUUAUUUGAACAUUUUAAGGGUGUUAGAAAUACUAUUUCUUUCUAAGAAAUGUUCAUGGUAGGAAAAAUUCCUUGAUUGAAAAUUAUUUAACGAUGGCACAACAUUCUUGUUGUAGUUUAGUAAAUUUCCUUCGAAUCAUUACAUUUGCACUAAUUAACAUAUAAACAUUAGUACAACUUACUUCCGUUUUCUUUUAAAUAAUUAUUUUCGAGAAAUUCCAUAUUAGAAACACUUAUAGUAAUAACAAUUAAUUCAUGUUUCCAACCAAAAAAAAAAAAAAAAUAAAACAACCCAACUCUUCUCACCACACUAAACACCCUUAAAAAUGUUCAAACAAAAAGAUAUAAAGAUAAGGAGAUAUGGUAUGAUUGUCUAUGAGACAACUAUCCACCAGAGUUUAAAUGCAAUUGUUCCAGGAUGUGAAAAGUAAAAUCACAAAAAUACUGAACUCAGAGGAAAAUCAAUUCGGAAAGUCCAUAAUCACAUGGCAAAAUCAAACAACAAAACGCAUCAAAAACGAAUGGACAAGAACUGUCAUAUUCCUGACUUGGUACAGGCAUUCAUGUACUUAUACCGUAAAGAAAGUUAAUUUAUCCAACCACCUGUCGUCGUAUGAAACUAAUUAAGAUAAUUAUCUAUAACUAUUGUGAUCAGAGAAUAUUUAUUCGCCAUUACAUGAUUAUUGGAAACUCUUAAGGACUGACAUAUUGGUAUUUAUCUGUAAUUCACCUGAAUUAGAAAAAUCAUCCAAAUAAGGAAUUACAGAAUUACCUAUUUUCUGGAUUGAGUCAAUAUAGUUUUUCACAGGUAUUACAAAAUUGCCAUCUUAUUUAAUUGAGUGCAAAAAACAUCAGUAUUAUCUCAAUCAGCACACGUUUUAAAAGUAAUAGAGUCGGAAAUAGAACAAGGCUAUUUAGAAGAACUAUGAGAUUUUAUGUCAUUUGAACAUUACUUCAUUAACGCCAUCGGUGUGGUAGAUUGUAAAUGCAAUAAUAAUCGUAGACUUAUCAGCGCCUCGUGCGGAUCCAAACAAACUCCUAGUUUAAAUGAACUUGUCGAUAAAGAUAAAUUUUCUAUGCAAUAUGUUUCAAACGGUGGACCUAUCAGAAUUAUUAAAAGCCUAAGUUUUAAAAGUUGGCUUUUAAAUACCGAUAUAACCAAUGCCUUUUCCAGUUACAAUAAAGAGCACAUUUUACACUUUUUUGAUUUUUUUUAGUUAUUGUACCAGAACAAGAUAAUGGUCAACAAACUAUUAGUCAUUCUUAAAUGUUUUAAGUCGUUAGGUGUGCCACUUUCAGUUAAGAAAACUGAAAUAACAUGUCAUAAAUUCUAAUAUUUAGGAACAUAUUUAGAUACUUAAAAUACGGAGGCUUAUCUCCCUUUAUAAAAGGUAUAACGAACCCAAGAAAUCAUAGAAUCUUUCAGUAGGUGCAAUUCUUGUAACAAGAGAGAGUUAUUUUGUUUUUUUGGGCAUUUAAAUGUUGGACACAGAGAGAUAUAGUGCUUGUUCUACACUUCAUAUAACUGUCUACGACUGUUAAAAAGUUGUAUCACCAUGUGUACUUACAAAGCUGUAAACAAGAUAUGUUACUUGGUCAAUUUAAAAAUAAAUCGGAAUUUCCUUCUUAUUAAAUGAUAAUAUAACGAUAGAUUGGAACAUUCACCUGUAAAUAAACUCAUCAUAGAUACCAGGCUUAAGUUAUGAAUUGACGCCAGACGCGCGUUUCGUCUACAAAAGACUCAUCACUGACGCUCGAAUCCAUGUGCGUGUUGUGGGGUAAAUAGAUGGAAUAGAAAACAAGCAUUAUUCAAUUGUGACAAUUUAGCCUCUGUAGACAUUAUAAAAAAGGGUAGACAUAACAUUCUCAUGAAGUUAAUGAGAGUCCUCACUUAAUAUUCAGUCAAACAGUAUUUAGUAGUGCAUGGCCAACACAUUCCUAGUAUAAAAACAGCUGACUAUCUUUCUCGUUACCACGGCGAAGUUUACAGCCUUGGCACCACAUGUCAACGCGAUACCAACGCCUUGUCUACAUAUCUUAGAGCUGAUGAAGGUUUGAAUUAAAAAAUCAAAGAAUUAUGGGAUGCAUAUAUAAGCGAAAGCACUAGACUGACAUAUAGGUCCGCUUUUAAUUGUUUCAGAACUUUCUUGGUAAUGAAUGGACAAAAUUACUCCGAAGUCAAUCCCUAUGUACAAGAUAAUCUUCUAGUUUAUUUAAUUACUUAUUGUCAAUAACACUCAAUCUUAGUCACCAGACUAUUAAAUUCUAUCUAUCCGGAGUACGCCAUUAUUAUAUAAGAUUUGUAAGAUAUAUAUAAUGAGUGAGUACCUUUCUCUAAGAUAUAACACUUGCGAUUUACCAAAAUGUUCAUUUGUUGUAGAAAAGGAAUUUCAAUCAUCGCCGUAAAGUAGGAAAACAUUUAAUUCUUCAUUGAGGCAACAAUUAGAUACUAUUGGCUACAAUACUGUUAACUUUUGUUGUCACUUUUGUCGUAAAAGACCAGCAUGUGGUGCCAAUGAUCAUGUUAUUCAAACAUUUAGAAGGUGGUCGUCAGAAUUUGAAUGGUGGAAAACAUGGAGACAUUUUAACUUCCACGUUUUUAACUUCGAUUUGGUUCGAUAUUUACGUCUACAUUUUUGUAUGUAUUGAAAUUGAUUAUUUGUACGUGUGAGAACAAUUACACACAUGCGUAAAAGUAAAAUCAAAACAUGUUAAAAUGAUGAUGUAAUUAUCGUGUUAAUUUUGGGGAAAUUAUUUGCACCCCAAGUCAAUUGUAAAAUUCUUAAUUAUCAGUUCCAAUUAUCAAUUUAUUUCAUAAGUAAGCAUAGGAUUAUUUUGCAUUCUGGUCUCGAUUAUUUCUAGAAUAAUUUGUUUAUUUGCAAAACAUACAAAAACCAAUUUUGGUUGUGGCAAAUACAUUGACAAACAAACAUAAUGAAACAUAAUGAAAACUCGACAAUAUUAUAAGAAAUAUGAUAAAAACAGUUACUGUUCUCCUUUCCUCAGUUCUAAUGACUCUUUAAUAAAAGAAACAACUGCUUUUACAUCAUUUGGUGUUGAUGGAUUAAGUAUUAUUACGAGUUUAUCAGUAAAAUUAAGUGUAUCAAAAUUUACAUAUUUUUGUAUAUAAUAUUUUAGAAAGAUUUCUCUUAUAUUUUUAUUUAUUUUACAGUUGAAGAAAAAAUGAAAUUCAUCGUCUAAGAUAUUACAUAUUUUACAUUUUCUUUCAUUUCGUGGUAUUUUGGUAUAUCGUCCAGUUUCUAUGAAGAGACAAUGUUCGCUUAUUCUAAAUUUGGUUAACAUUUUUCUUGUCUCUUUACUUGGGUGUGAUAGGUAGUAUUGCAUUUGGUUAUUUAUAUUAGAUUUAAGAAAUUUAUAUAGAUAUAUUUUAUUAUUUUCAUUUAAGUUAUUCAUUUUAUCAUCAAUAACAGUUUGAUAAUAGUUGAUAUAACUUUUUUUUAAUUGGGGUUUUAACAUUUUAGUCUGUUUUAAAGUUUUAGUUUCCUCAAUAAGUUUAAUGUCAAUAUUUAUAUCUUGUGACACAUUUUUUGCAAAAGUAUACCAAGAGUAUGUUCCCUUGGUAUCUAAACUUUUAGUUAAUUUAAAGGCUUCAUUAAGAAGUGGGUUUAGAUUUUCAUUAUUUAAUCUAGAUAGGUACAUCAUAGUUUGGGUUUUUAUGAAAGUUUCUAAUGGCAAAAGUCCUAGUUCAUUUCUAACAGCUAGAUUUGUUGAGCUUAUUUUUGUCCCCAGUACUUGUUUCAUAAAAUGUAGCUGGGUUUUUUCUAAAACAGUUUUAUCAAUAAAAUGAAUAGCAUCUGGUGUUGAGCUAUUUUUGUUAGCUCGGAGUUUAGCUCUAUAAAAUUGAAUAUAAGUGUCCAUAUAGCAUAUUUCACUAUUAUAUGUUAAAAUAGGUUUGACCAAAGUUUCAAAAAGGUUGCAAGACACUCUCACAGGAAGUUGUCCAAAGCCUGAUGAGUAAGAGUUAAUAGCAGAUAAAACUUUUCUUGCUUUUUUUGCAAGAUCUGAACUACAACUAGUUAGACUGCCAUAUUUAAAUUGUUGUUCAGGUUAGGUAGAUUUUUGUACAGUGAGCCAACACAAAGAUGCAUUCAUUGUUUACAUCAUUAAGUUUAAAUGUUGGACAAUCGGGAAGUGUUUUAAUAGUUAUGUAUAUGUUAAUAAGAUGAUACCAGGUAAUUAAUCGUAGUAACUUAAAUCAUCUAAAAAGAAAAUACAUAGAAUUAUUGCACAUGUUAAUAAGUUUUGAACACUUGUUCUUAAAUGUUUUAAGAUGAUUAUAUAUAUAUUCAUAAAGCAAAGAAAUAAAACUCUUUUUUUAGCUUUUGGGGAUAAAAUAUUCAUAAGAAAUUUUGUGAAUUUGAAAACCAUCAUUAUGACAUCAAAAAUUUACAUUGAUAAACUACGAAUAUUCUAUGCAAGUAAAGUGUUCAACUAUGCCAAUGACAAUACAUUGUCUCACUCAAGAUCUUGUUUAAACAGUUUAAUAAACAAAUAUUUGGAAGAGUAAGUGUACUUUCAAUUGAUUAGUGUGUUUAUAACUAAAUGAAAGAUACUCCGCGUAAAUUUCAGGCCAUCAGUGAGGAUAUUAGUUUCAAUAUUGAUGGGUAUGAAAUUUUAUGUGACUCUUAUGUAAAACUCUUUGGAGUAGCACUGCAUUAUCAACUUAAUUUUUAAUCACAAAUUUCUGCAAUUUGUAAAAUAAAAGAAGGUUACCUUCGUCAGCUCAUAUAUUAUCAAUAAUUAUGUUUAAUUUCAACUAUAUGUCUAUUAAAACCAAUAAUACUACAGUGUUGAUCCAGGAUGGGCGUAGAAAGCAUCCGAUCUCGGUAAGGUGGCUCGGGUGUCUUCUUCCAUCUUGAAUUUUGAAAAAGCAGAUAACUUUGGUCUAGAUAUUUUAUGAUAUGUGCAAAAUUUGAGAGUUGUAUGUAAUUUAUGUAAAAGACUUUUAAUAUACUUAUAGCAAAUUGUGUUGUUUUAUCAUAAUUACAGCUGUAAUUUCUUAAAAACACCUUGUUUGUGCUUGAAGAGAUAUUUUUUUUCAACUUGCCAAAUAAGGGGAGAUAACUCAGAUAAAGUAAUUUUUAUAUAUUUAAAGUGUUAUGAAUUUACCUAUUUUGAUAUGCAGUGACCCCAUUUUUCCUUUUUUAUCUGAAAGCAUGUAAUAAGAGCAAUCUUCUUAUAUUUUAUCUUAUAGUUCUGAUGGUACAUUUUCUUUUUAUCACACAAAAUUUGAUUCCCCAUGCAUAAUCUAUACAAAAUCUGACAAGUUUGCACAACCUGUACGGUGACCAAUACUUUUUAAUAUAUUUUGGAAAAAAAGCAAGUUAAAAACUUCAUUUUGACAAGUUAUCGAAAAAUUCUAUCAAUUUUUAAUUAAGACUCCCUAGCCACCUUAAUUGAUAUUUUUAUUGUAUCAAUUUUUGGAAAGAUACAAAUAAUUGCUUGUCCAAAAUAAUCCACUUUAUGGACUGACGUCCAUUUAAAAUAAAAUCCUUAAUCCGCCCUGAUACUAGGAAUCUACUUUGGCUUAAAAAUAAAGUGAUUGCGUUUACGAUUGGGUAAAUCAUGGAAAUAAAUUGAUAUGAUAAUUUCACUUUUCGCUGAAAUGUGUGAAAAUAAUUAAGGGCUCAAAUGUUUUAUUUUACUUUAUGCAAAUUUAAAUCAUUCAUUUCAUUGGACACUCGACAUUUCGUAUUUUUUACUCACCGUUCUUAAGCCCUGCUGAGCAAUAGCAAAAUUUGAUAGUUCUAUUUGCAACGAUGGUUAAUAUCUAAAUUAGCCAGAAAUUUGCCGAUCGGACAAUUAUUUACUAGCUCAGGCAACAUCAAAAUAAAUUCUAAAAAAGAAUUAUUUUAUUUUUUAAAAAAUAAACAUACAAACAAAUUGAUUUUUUAUGAACAUAUAAAUACAUUGACUUUACAGCUAACAUUUUCUAUGUCAUUUGAGAUAAAUACUGCUUUUGCUUCAAAUAUAUAUAACAUUUAAAGUAAGAAAUAAUUAAAUCAUAAUGACAAUGAGGGCGAUUUUAAAUACACAAAAUGGUUGAAGAUGUGAAGUUUAAUUAAACAUCAACAUCAAUUGUGAAAAAAUCUAUUUUUCCUAAGAUGUUUUUAUAAACGAUAAAAACUUUUUUUUAUGAAAAUAUCAAUAUAAAUAUGUAUAUUCUUAAGGUAAUAUUUUUAAUCUAAAGGGGAACAUUAUUUUUUUAUGAAUUUACUCCAAAAUGAAUGUAGAGUAUAACAGAAACAUUUUCUUUUGUUUUAUCCUGAGAACGAGGGUCAUAUUAUGCCUUUGAUAAUAAAGCAAGUUCAUCAUUAUUUCACAUAAAAACAAAGAGUCAUUUAAAUGUUUACACUGGUCGAGGUGACAAUAUGAACAUAUUUCAUUCGGAGACAAAUAGAGAUUACAAGUAUAUUCAUUUUUGUAACAAUGGAUGAAUACCGUCAAACGUGAACGGCUUAACCUAUCAGAUAACAGAAAUUUAGCAAUAAAAAAAAAAACGAAUCCGUGUACUUUUUUCAAUAUGGUUGUUGUAUAAUAAAUAAUACCUCGUUCACACGUACCUUUAAUUCGAAUUGAAUUCGAUUCAAAUGCGAAUCGAAUUCGCUAAUCGCGUUCACACACUCUUAUUUUUUAAUUCGAAUUGAUUCGAAUUGGCUAAUUCGAAUUAACUAAUUCGCAUUAGAAAUACGUUUUUGUUAAUCCGAAUUAAAAGUUAACGUCGUUAGGACAGUAAAGCGAAUUUGACGCGUAUUCCAAUUCGAAUUAGAAUUGACGUCAGGACCUUAAACGUGUCGAAUGCUAAUACAACUAAUUCGAAUUAGUUAAUGCGAAUCGAAUUCGAAUUACGUGUGAACUCAGCAUUAAUAUUAUAACGCUACCAAAACCACGUUGUUAAUUAUUACUUCAAGUCUAAAACAUUGAAGUUAUAUACAAAAACAAAAAAUAAAGCUUCAAUUGUUGAAGAUUUCAAAUGAGUCGGCUUUAGAAACAAAUGUAUUGUGAAACUGUUCGAAGAAAAAUAAAACAUAAGACUGAGCAUGAACGAUACAAUUACACACCCCAAUUUUAUGAUUUGAAACCCGGAAUAUUUCUUUUUUACAUAUCCUAUAAACUCGAGGUAAGUAAGUAUGCUAAUCAGCAGGAGAAAAAUUUGUAACAUAUUGCUUCUUUUCCUUUAGAAAUGCCUUUUUCAGUGGCGGAUUUCCUAGCAGAAUUAUCAAAGGAUCUAAAAUUGGCGAUCCAAAAAUAUAUAAAAUAACUGAAAUUCUUACAAAAAUAGGAUAAGCAUAUAGAUCGUAGGAGAGUUUUAAAAAUACUGCUCCCAAACAUAUUAAAACGCUAACUGAAAACAGAGAAAUAAAGUUUCUUAUCAUUCUUUUCCAUACAUGUCCAUUUUUACAUAGAGUUUUGUCUCCUCUUGCAGUACUAUAAGAAAAUAUGAAAGUUAUAAGCUGCAAUCCAAACAUAAAAAGAAAAAUGCCAAUUUCUGUCGUGAGACGAAAAACGACUGAAAUCUUUGACAGAACGUCUGCCUCUUUAAAUGAACCGUAAAACACGUGGCAGGUCAUCAUGUCUGGCAAAAAAACAACUGCAUUGGUAAGUGUACUCCAAAGUGAACUUAUGAAUGAAAAACUAAUGAUGAAAACCAUGUAUUGACCAGUUCUUCUAUUGUUAAAAGCGUGGUAAUGUUUGUAUACAUAUAUAAAAUAAAACAAGCGUUCAACAGAAGCAAGUGCCAGCAAGUAGCGUUGGGUUCCGGCAGUAAACAAGUUAAGGAAAACAAUGAACCUUGCUAAAGAUUCGGUGAGAAAUAGUUCUUCGACAGCGGUCACACAAACUGCUGUAACUGAGUAUUGGAUCACUAUAAAUAAAUCAAAGAAUAAUAUAACAUAGAUGAUAAAGUUUGACGAAUUUUGAAGUUUUUGAUACUUCCGUAAUAAAAAGGCAAUUCGGAGGUUGAAAAUUCCAGUGUAUAAUGCGGCAAACACAAAGAGAAAAUACUGUGUCCAUCGCAAUAGGUGGUUCUUAUCUAUCGGCGAUAUAGUAUAAUAAUCAGUGCUAUUUAUAACUGUCAUGAAAAGCAUUUCAACCACCAAUAUAUCUCGUCUAUACUUUUUAUUGUUUAUGAUGCUGCUCCUCUUCAAACGUUCUGUAAUUAUAUAAAACAAAUACAUUAAUGAGAAGAUAAUGGUGUGAUAUGCUUAAAAAAUAUGGCUACAUCUCUUCCAGGUUCAUUAGUGUUAGCUUUUUAUAAACCAUUAUAAUUCUAAACUUGUGCAUACAAAACCAAACUAUGUGGUAUGAUAAAACACGACUAUGUGGAUUCAUAGAACAAGACUAUUUGGUAGAUAAAAAAUGCAAUAUGGGAAAAAAACUAUGUGCAGGAUUAACAAGACGAUGUGGUAUGAUAAAACAAGACUAUGUAGUAUGAUAAAACAAGACUGUAUGGUUUAAUAAAACAAGACUAUGUGGUUUGAUAAAACAAGACUAUGUGGUAUAAUAAAAAAAAAACUGUAUGAAUUAAUAAAACAAGCCUGUAUGGUUCGAUAAAGCAAGACUGUAUGGUUUGAUAAAAAGAAAAAAAAACUGUAUGGGUUGAUAAAACAAAACAGUUUGGUUCGAUAAAACAAGACUGUAUGGUUUGAUAAAACAAAACUGUAUGUUCGAUAAAACAAAACUGUAUGGUUUGAUAAAAAAAGACUGUAUGGUUUGAUAAAUAAAACAAGACUAUAUGGUAUGAUAAAACAAGACUGUAUGGUUUGAUAAAACAAGACUAUGUGGUUUGAGAAACAAGACUAUGUGGAUGAUAAAACAAGACUGUAUGGUUGAUAAAAAAAGACUGCAGUGGUUUGAUAAAACAAGACUUUAUGAAUAUGAUAAAAAAGACUAUGUGGNNNNNNNNNNNNNNNNNNNNNNNNNNNNNNNNNNNNNNNNNNNNNNNNNNNNNNNNNNNNNNNNNNNNNNNNNNNNNNNNNNNNNNNNNNNNNNNNNNNNNNNNNNNNNNNNNNNNNNNNNNNNNNNNNNNNNNNNNNNNNNNNNNNNNNNNNNNNNNNNNNNNNNNNNNNNNNNNNNNNNNNNNNNNNNNNNNNNNNNNNNNNNNNNNNNNNNNNNNNNNNNNNNNNNNNNNNNNNNNNNNNNNNNNNNNNNNNNNNNNNNNNNNNNNNNNNNNNNNNNNNNNNNNNNNNNNNNNNNNNNNNNNNNNNNNNNNNNNNNNNNNNNNNNNNNNNNNNNNNNNNNNNNNNNNNNNNNNNNNNNNNNNNNNNNNNNNNNNNNNNNNNNNNNNNNNNNNNNNNNNNNNNNNNNNNNNNNNNNNNNNNNNNNNNNNNNNNNNNNNNNNNNNNNNNNNNNNNNNNNNNNNNNNNNNNNNNNNNNNNNNNNNNNNNNNNNNNNNNNNNNNNNNNNNNNNNNNNNNNNNNNNNNNNNNNNNNNNNNNNNNNNNNNNNNNNNNNNNNNNNNNNNNNNNNNNNNNNNNNNNNNNNNNNNNNNNNNNNNNNNNNNNNNNNNNNNNNNNNNNNNNNNNNNNNNNNNNNNNNNNNNNNNNNNNNNNNNNNNNNNNNNNNNNNNNNNNNNNNNNNNNNNNNNNNNNNNNNNNNNNNNNNNNNNNNNNNNNNNNNNNNNNNNNNNNNNNNNNNNNNNNNNNNNNNNNNNNNNNNNNNNNNNNNNNNNNNNNNNNNNNNNNNNNNNNNNNNNNNNNNNNNNNNNNNNNNNNNNNNNNNNNNNNNNNNNNNNNNNNNNNNNNNNNNNNNNNNNNNNNNNNNNNNNNNNNNNNNNNNNNNNNNNNNNNNNNNNNNNNNNNNNNNNNNNNNNNNNNNNNNNNNNNNNNNNNNNNNNNNNNNNNNNNNNNNNNNNNNNNNNNNNNNNNNNNNNNNNNNNNNNNNNNNNNNNNNNNNNNNNCAUCCAAUAUAUUUUACUUACUGAUGUUUAGUUACAUUACCGAAGUUAUCUCUAGAUUUUUAAAGGCAGUGCUUUAAGCCUGACUUUCAAGUCUGAGGUAUAUCUUUUCAUACGCCGUCCAACAAAUAGUGAGUAUUUGGCCAGAAAUAGAUCCGAAAUGUUCAAUUUGCUCCUCUACUUAAGGCUUUUUAUGGUAUGAAAUGGUUUUUGUUUCUUUCAUUUACAUUGGGAAAUAAAGAAACGAUCAGUGUCUUUUGUUCGUUUUAAAAAACUUGUUAUUAAUGUGUAUAUUGCAUUAUAAGCUGUCAACCUGAUUACCAACUAUCAUUAUUUGUAUUCCGUGUGGAAAGAGGUCGGGUCAAUUUCGAGUGUUAUCUGACGUCUAAGGCAGCAACCAUUUGAUUUUCUGGGGGGGGCUAUGGUUUUUUUUUUCUGGACAAAUUAUUUUUUUCGCCUGCGGCGAAAAACAAUCUAUUUUUUUCGCGACAAGUCGAAAACAAUUUUUUUCUUUCAAUUUUAGCAUUACAUAUAGUGACAGCUGAGGGUAAAACAAACUAUUUUUUUUUCUCAGAAUCAAAAACAAAUUAUUUUUUUCUCCAAAAUCUGGAAACAAACUUUUUUUUCCAAAAAAAACCAUAGCCCCCCCCAGAAAAUCAAAUGGUUGCUGCCUAAAGAUUUUUUAAUCAGUUCAGACGUUGAUAUAACAAUGAAAGGUCGACUGAACAUGAUUAAUAUUGCAUUUUCUAUCAUUCAAAGCGGAAUUAAGUUUAUGAACGAGAAACCGUAAGCUUUUUCAAUUUCGGUAUUAGUUGUGUAUGUUGUGUACGUAUUAUUACUAUUAUCCUGGUUCCUGCUACUACGUUCCGGGCAUUAGCUAUUUGAUAUGUGUGUAACAUUACGGGUACCAGUCAAUCUACGCGUGUAUCAUUCGUCUCAACUCGGCCGAUUCCGUACCCUCAUCUAAGGAGAGUAGCGGAUUCUACCGAGGAUUGCCGAAUGACGCGUGUAUGUGGAUAUGGUUUUCCGCCAAAAUGACCGACUUACAGUAUGGAAAAAUAGUUCAUAAACGUUCCGUAUAAUGAUAUGCAAAUUCAUAAUUGAUCGUAACUGUUUUUAUCUUUAUAUAAUAAUUAUAACAAAAUGGAUUCCACAAAAUAGAAAAUGGCAUUAUUUACGAGGAUUUCUCAUAAUUUUUUCACUUCCGGCGCAGUAAUACGUAUGUUUUGAAGAAGCUCGAAACAUUUGACAGACAAAGUGAAUUGAGAAGGAAACAGAUAGAUAUCAGGUAAAACAAUUUAAAUGUACAGAACAAAAAGAUUCACUUCACACAAAUAGUAGAAGCUUGAGCAUUUUAUUGUAUGAUACACGUCUCUAGUCUAGUGUUUAAACGACGGUGGUGACCUACAACCCUGAACCACUGGCACGGGUCAUACUGGGUAAAGUCUAAAUAUGUAAACAUAUCCACGUGAUUUAAGGUAGAAAGUAACAUAAUGCAAUAUAUAUCUACCAUUGUCUCCUCCUUUAUAAAUAGUUUAACCAGAUAUAUUACUCUUACACAUUAACACGGGUUGUAUGUACGUAUCUUUUCUCUUGAUGUAGACCUACUGUUUUCUUGUCCUUAACAUUUGUUGAUGUUUAAAUAUUUCUGAACGACUGAAUGAAUGCAACAAUAAUAUACUGAAGACUAAGGCUGUACAAUAAUAGUGUAAACUAGAAAAGAGAACUUCUACCUUUACCAUUUUGCUGCCACCAUAUAUGUGCAUCAAUUAACUGAUUGGAUACGCAUGUAUUGUGUUCAAGUUCUUGUUUACUUGUUACGAAUUAACCGCAAUACAGAGACCAAUACUUGUUGUUAAAUGUUAACGUAUCGUAUUGUAAAGUCACAUAAUUAUUAGGUCUUUCUAUCAUUACAUCUUCCUGUAGAAAAAAAUUUCGGGAGAAGAUAUAUACUAAAAUUACUAUAUUAUCAGUACACAAGUUUCAAUAUAUGUAUGUUUAAAGGCAGUGCUUUAAGGCCUGACUUUUAAGUCAUCGUGUUCAUCUUUCCUUAUGCGACAUCCAACAAAUCUAUGCUGGGGGUCAUUUGGCCAGAAAUAGAUCCGGAAAUGUUUAAUUUUCUCCUUUUUGUUGUAUGAAUGGUUUUUGUUUCUUUCAUUUACAUUGGGAAAUAAAGAAAUGAUCAGUGUAUAUUGUUUGUUUUAAAACCUUUUUAUUAAUGUGUAUUUUGCAUUAUAAGCAGUCAACCUGAUUACAAACUAUCAUUAUUUGAAUUCCGUGUGGAAAGAGGUCGGGUCAAUUUCGAGUACUAUCUCAAUCUAAAGAUAUUUUUAAAUCAUUUCAGUCGUUGAUAUUACAAUUAAAAGUCGACUGAACAUGAAUUAUAUUGCAUAUUAUACAAUUUAAAGCAUUUCUGUACGUGAAGCCGUAUGACGUUAUAGUUAUUUUGGUCUCAGUUAUUUAAAGUAUGAAAUUAUCGUUCCUUAAUAGGUGGUGCCGUUGUAGCCAUCUUGGUCUCACUAAUUAGAGACAAGAAGCGUCAAAAAGUGAUAAAAAGCGACAAUAAAAUUAAUUUAGCGAUAAGAAGCGCAAAAAGACUAUUUAGCGACGAUACAUGAGUAAAAAAAUAUCAUUGAAACAACAUAUUCCCAAUAGAUAUCGAAAAAAAUAUGCAUUAUUUUAAUUAAAGGGGCGGUUAGGCCAAAUAAAAAUAUAUCUGUGGUUCUUUUGACCCCAAUUUCAUGGUCCACUGAACAUAGAAAAUGAUAGUGCGAAGUUCAGGUUAAAGUUUUUGAUCAAGGUAGUUUUUGAUGAAGUUAAAGUUACAUCAACUUGAAACUUAGUACACAUGUUCCCUAUGAUAUGAUCUCUCUAAUUUUAAUUCCAAAUUAUAAAGUUUUGACCUCAAUUUCACGGUCCACUGAACAUAGAAAAUGAUAGUGCGAGUGAGGCAUCCGUGUACUAUGGACACAUUAUUGUUUUUCUAAAUUUUAUUUUGGAUUGUCAAAAUCCGGAAAAAAAUUGUGUUUACUGAAAUUGUUUCCAGUAUUAUACACAUCAAUACCGGAAGUCGACCAUUUUAAAAGUGUUUAGUUGCAAAAUAAAGACAGUCAUUUACCUUUUGGGUUAAUUUUGUUGCAUUUUGACAACAAAUUGUUAUGAAUUCUUGCAUUUUAUCAAUAACAGAUACUUCUGAUGGAAAUUCAGAUGACAGAAAUCUACGAAUUUUAUUAUUUUAAAUCACAAUCUUCAAAAUUUGAUCGGUUGAAAAUUUAUUUUUUCCGAAAUGAAAAAAAAGUUCUAGGGUCAGGGGUUUAAACUAGGGAGUUGGGUUACUGGAACCACACUUAUAUUUUUAUUUGGCCUUAUUAAACAUUUUUUAUAUUACAUUGAUAGAAAAAAAAUUAAAUUUCUAUAAAGAAAAAAGGGAAUCAUUUUCUAGUUUUUAUUGAAUAUAAAGAAUAUGUUUUAUGCACACGCUUAAAAUUGGAAAUCAAAACAAAGAUUUUCCGACUUACUUUUAAAGAAUUUAUUGAAUCAAAACCAUGCAAUAUUAUUUCCCUAUUAACAGUGAAAUUCGACGUUUUUGAUUAGGACAUCAUUAAUAGGUGUGGCUUCACACUAUCACACCAAAUGAGAAUAGCCUCGUGAGAGAAUAGCGAUUCGUGUGUCCCUUGUUUGUUAUUGUCGCUUCCUCACUAAAUUAUACUUCUUGUCCCUGUUUGUCGCUAAAAUUCUUCUUGUCUCUUAUUAGUGAGACCGUCCGGUUCCCUCUUUUUUAACUUCUGUUUCUGCACUGCAAAAUAACCACAUUUUCAAUCAAGACAAUUAACGAUGCCUAGUCCUUGUUGUGUACCUGAGUGUCAUUUAAGAGGAGGACAUGCAUUUCCAAAUGACUUAAUAAGAAGGAAAGGUUGGAUCAACGCCAUGGCUCAUACAUAGGGGGUUAAUUCAAGACGUCAUAAUUUUUGGGAUUACGACUCAAUGUCAUCUGUUUGAGAUUUUUUGGUGAAUGCUACAAUAAUAAGGUUUUCCUACAAGAGGUAUAUCAUACUGAGAACUAUUUUAGCAGUAAUUAUGUUUAUUUAUGAUGUAAUGACAGGAACGCAUAAGCUAUGCCUCAUAAAAGACAAUAUGUAAACAGGAACAAAACAAUGACAUGAAUGAUGUUCUCUUCUAAAUUAUAGUUAUUUAGGUAUGUGUUUUGCAUAAGUCUUUCACAAGUUUCAAAAAAGCUAAUGUUAUAAAUUUUUUUUUCAGGGCACAAACCCACCUUAAAGAGACUUGUCUUCUUCCAUUCCCAGCCUAUUUUCAUGCACCAAUUGCAAGCAAGAGGCUGAAUGGUUUGCAAAAAUAAAAUUCAGGACGGUGUCCCGUUAAACCAAAAGAACUAAACUGGAUGAAAUCUAGAGAAAAGUUUUGAUUUGUGAAAUUUGUUUUCCUGAAAAGUCAUUCAUCCUGCAGAAAGGAUUUAUAACUGUCCACCACCAAGUGACGAGCUAAUGUUGAGCUUCACAUAUGGAAUUACUCAAACACCAUCAAUGCCUAUGUUUUCAGCACAGAUUUCGCAAAUCAUGACACAGCCGUGCAUUUUUUAUACCUGUUAAGGAGUCGUAUACUAAAUUUUAUUUUUAUGUAAAUAAAUUUAUAUUGUGUCAUUUUAGAACGUUUUUUUUUUGCCAAAAGAUGCAUAAAUGAAAGUGGUGCAAUUAAUUUUGCUUUGAUAUAUUAUAGAUUUGAAUUACAAUUGUUCAUGUUAUUGUAAUGCAUAUAAAAAUAAGGAGAUGUGGUACAAUGUAUAUACAUGAUAUUUAGUGAGUUUAUGAAACUAAAGUGCAUAAAAAAUGGGUAUAAGCAGUUACAGGUACUAGUGUACAAUAUCCAACAAUGAGAAAAACUCAUACCGUAAAGAGAAUUUGAUAGAUUCACAAGUAAGUUUUGUUUUUGCGUGGAAUCAUUUACUUCUACAUGUAUUGUCUUAAUAGCAAAUAUGGGAAAUGGUUAAAAUGCUAAUGAGACAGCUAUUAUGACCACCAGAUGUCAUUGUUUUCUUAAUUAAUAACUCCUUUUUCAUUCAAACCGGUAGAUUACUUUAUCAUGUGUAUACUGAAAAAUAAUUUUGCUUGGAGUUGGAAAAAGUAUGGUCAUCAAAAGAGUUGACAUGUUACUAUGUACAUUUACCAUUAUGUUACUUGAUGUUCUUGCAAUACACACACAUAGCCAGAAAUUAGUAGUGGUUUUGCUAAUUAAUAUUCAUAAUAUGUAAAUGAGAAUUGUACCACGUGAUAAUACUUUGAACUGGACUGGCUUGAUAGGCUUGGUAUCAUUAAAAUCUUUAAAACACGGAUAUUAUAAGUUGCCCGUCACAGAGUCCUUAUUUACAAUCACUUUGAUAUUUCCGUAAAGUUGUCAGGCGGUCAAAAUCAAAACAAUGAACGCGAAUUUAGUGAAUUUUUCGUGCUUUCGUGAGUUUAUUCUUCUUGAAAUAGUGACAUUUUAAUUUUACGUGGGAACCUAGAGUUCAAUGACUACACAUACAAGGUUUGGACUUGCUUAUUCUUUGGAAAUUCAAGUUUCAUAUUUCACCCCGGCAACCUGUUUUUGUACUGACCUUGUAAGCCAAUUUUCAACACGAAGUUUGCAAAUUUGACGUUUCAGCCAUGUUUAGCCUGUAUUUUACACUGCAAUGUUAAAAGCCUCUCGCUUCGAUUUUUAAAAUAGCUCAGGAACCUGUAUUUUUGCAACAACAGUCAUUAUGUUUCGUUCAAAUAGUGUAUAUUGUUGUGUAUAUUCAUUUUCUGCCCCGGCAACCUGUCUAUCACUUAAAUUAAGAUUAAAAUAGACAUUUUUUUCAAAAUUCCCUAUCAUUUUAAUGUAAUUUCCGUGACCCGUAUCCGAUUUCUUUAGUAUAAUAUUCAAAUAAGCAAAGUGGCGUAGAUUUCUGGAUAUGGUACGGUAUGCAAUCUUUGUGAACUAUUUUUCAUAGGAUGGGAGUCAUUGAAUAUGCGUAUAUAAUCAAUAAUUAAAAAUAAUCUAUUUAUAUUAAAAAGGAAAAGUUCUUUUAUGUCUUAAAAAUGCAUUUCAUGGCAAGGUACACAAAAUAUACUGUAAACAGUAGACUAUAAAUAUAGGUGAACUAGGUACAAGAGAACUCUAAAUCUUAAAUACUACAAAUCACCUCUGUACUAUGGAAGAUAAUGAUAAAACUGGACUAGAAAUACACACAACCUGUAAUUAACUGCCUUUACAGCGCUUUCGCGCUUUGAUUAAAAAUACUGGUUAAUACCAAUUUAGAUACAAAUUAGUGUUAUUCAUGACAACCUAAACAGAAUCCACAUGAUAUAUGCGACCAUUCUUGGAUGAAAUCAAUAUGUAUAGAUUAUAACAGGCCCUUUUCUAUAUUAGCCCUGGUAUCAUCCCGAGACUCCCAUAUCGGCCUCGAGGCUUUAGCCGAGGGCCGAUAUGGGUCGAGGGAUGAUACCAGUGCAAAUAUGGAAAAACAUGUUAUAAUCUUUAAGCUAUUUAUCACAUAUUUAAGUGUUGCAGAAAAGAGGGAAAACAAGUUCAAUUAUAACAAUUUAAUGAAACAUCUUAAAAAUUUAUCCGUAUCCGUAACAAAUAUCAUGUGAUAAGAUAUAAAUAACACAUAGCUGAGAGGGUGAUAGAGCAGAUUGGGUCCCGAGAAAACAUUGUCAACCGCGGCGAAGCCAAGGCUGACAAUGUUUUUUUCGAGGGAUACCGAUCUGAUCUAUCACCCUCUCAGCUAUGUGAUAUUUGAUUUCUUAUGAUGAAUGUCCUAUCAUCAUUUUCUUUAACAGAUGAGUUUUAUUAUAAAGUAUUUUCUAUGUAGUCACGUACUUGACAGCGUAACGGGUAUUUGACUGAAAAUCAUCAGAAGUGAAGUAAAUAGACAAUAGAAGUGCAUUGACUUGACAUAUAAACGAUACAAGGAUUAGGCCCGAAACGGGAAAAAAGCUCUGCUAUCAAGAAAAAAAUUAUUUUCAAUUGUUGUUAUUUUGUUAUUGUUAUUUAUUUUAUUUAAAUUUUGGGUAAAUACCCCUUUCAAAAGGCCUCAUAUCUGGCUGAGAAAUAUACAUCACAAUGAACAUGAUGAAAUGUACAUCACCAGUUGAAACCCAUCAAUGGUGAACGAAUGCGUUUAAUAUCAACAAUAAGCAUAACACACAAUGAUUUAUAGGUUUUAAAGUAAAAAUAUUAACAAGUGAAAUGCGUUUUUCCAACAAUUGUAAAAGAAAUAAGUUUGAGUCGUUCCACGCUUCGUUGUAUAGUAAAUUAGAACUUUAAGGAUUGUCUAUAAAAUAACUUGAUGUAGAUUCAAUUCAUUGUCGUUUAAACUGCCGAUUUUUGAUUGGUCUAGCCGAGAGGGUGACAUUCCAAAAAAUUGUCACCCGCUCAGCCAUGUGAUAGAGUAAAUUAACACCUUCUUAUUAGGCAAUCAAAAUGUGGCAUUUUAACAUGAUGUAUAAUAAUACUUUAACAUUACACUUUUUUAUAUCAGUUUUCAAUAUUCAUGGCCUAAAUUCAUUGUUCAUGUCAGUGUUUCCGUAUAUAUUAUGUUUCAUUGCUCAUGUGUUGUUUCCGUAUAUUUUAGCCACUCGUCUUGAGCCUACCCAUUUGAUCCGAUAACACCCCAUACAGCAAUAAAAUUAUACUUUUAUUGCCAUUCAUAACUCUUAACAGACCAAUUAACAGACCGGGUUUUAUACAUCCGACCCAUUAACAGACCAGGUUUUAAAUAAAGAUUGAUUUAUGUCACCAAAAUACAGAUUUUUGUGUAGAUUUUUCACACAAUGAUAUCAAUUUGGUUGACAAACAUAAUGCCUGUCUUUGUUCGAUGUUCAAAAUAUCGCAUGCAAGUAAAUUCAACCAACGUGUCUUUUUGUGUACAUUUUGUGUGUGUAAAAUGUGUAUAAAUUUAUUGAUGAGUAACACGCCUUUUCAUUUUAUAGAUCGUACAUCGAAGCUAGAAAAAUAAUAAUUACACCACUGGAUUCAGUACAUUGAAUUGUUUUGUUAGACAUGCAUAAUUUUUAUGAUAAACAUAUAUUUAAAAAGUUAUACAAUGAAACAUGCAGAAUUUCAAAUGAUUUCCUCGAUAACACCUGCUUAACAGACUUUAGCCAACCCGAUUAACAGACCCACCGCCGAUAUAGCCACAUACUCAAUAUAGAUUAACCGACCAAUCUCUCGGUUAGCCGAGUGUCGGCCGUGAUUUUGGCUGCUAAAAGCGAUUUAUUAUUUCACUAUUUCACUUUCAUUAUUGAUUGAACAAAAAAAAUCUUACUUUAGUUUUUUUUAUAUAUCUCGUAGCUAGUGCCCCUUUAAGUAGACAUGGUAGAUAAUAUUAUCUCUUUACAAUCUUUUCAGCAGAUUUUUAGUUGUUUUUCUUUUGAGGUUUGGAGGUCAUGUAAAUCAAUUUACAACCCCUUUGCCUCUAAUAUUCACUUCUUAAUAGUGGUCAUAUGUUACUUCAAUGUUUAUGUAUAAAUACACUGAUCAUCAACAACAUUUUGUUUUGUUUCAUUUAAUAAAAGGAGGUGAUGGGUAAAUUUUAUUGAAACAAGAACCCAACAACAUAAAAGAGAUUUAUUAGUUAACAUAACGUCUCCAGAAACAACAUGUCAAGCUCUUUAUUUCCAUAAUUUAUAUUUGUAUUUUCAUUUUAUCUAUAAUUAAGAAAGUGCUUUAAUCAUAUCUGUAGCUGAAUGUCUUUAUGUUUAUUUUUUAUGCAGGCUGGAAUGAAGAGUAAACUAGAAGAAUUAAAGUCUAAAUUAGACUGGAUAGAAAGACUUGAUACUACCAGUGAACCAGCACCAGCUCAGCCUGGCACAGAAAUACAAGGAGGAGAUGAUAUUCAUAAUGAUUUCAGGAGGGAAAUGUUGUUGUAAGAUUCAUAACUUCUCAAGUCAUUUUAUAAGUCUUACCACAUUUCUUGUCUUCUAACUUGUUGGUUUUACAGUAUACAUAUAAACAAGGAACCAAGUUUUAUUGGUUUAUUACUCAAGAAACUAUGGUAGAUAAAUCAGUCAUGAAAAUUUGUUGUUAAACAGUAAAUUCAAAUAGCAAUGUCCAUACGUCCUAGCCAAUCUGCCUUUCUACUAGAAAAUCUCUUUUUAAUAAUGAUUAUUGGUGGUUGAAUGAAAUUAACAAUAUCAAGAUAAUAUUGAUAAAUAAUUCUGUCUUAUAGCAGCUAAAUUUAAGAGCCUCAGUAUUUGUGUUUUUAUCUUUCAGUUACAGACAAGCUCAAGCUACAGUGUUGUCAGCUAUUCCAAAACUCCACAAAAUGGGUAUAAAGACCAAAAGACCAGAAGAUUAUUUUGCACAGAUGGCUAAAACAGAUGACCAUAUGAAAAGGGUAUAAUUACUGUAAAUUCAGAAAUUGUGAAAAAUGGACAGGGUUAUAAUCGCAAUAAUUUAAACUUGCAUUUUGAAAUUUUUUAUAUGAAUAAAAGAGAAGUCACAGUCUGGUUUAAAAUGACAAAAUUGCAAUAAUAAAUGCACGCAAUAAUUUCUAAAUUUAUUGUAAUUGAUUGCAAUCAUUGUAUGUAGAUAAAAGAUGAAAGAAAGAAAAGGUAGACCCAAUAUUUUGACCAAAAUGAUCUUUGUCAAGGGUUGUCCAAAAGGGAAAAAAAUAGAAAAUAUCUUGUAAGGACCAAACAAUAAUUUCAAAUAGUGUUCAUCAAGUCUAAGUUCAUAAAAUGUCCUCUGGAAAAUAUUCUCUGUUCCACAUCCCUUGAUGAAAACCUUUUAGGUUGAAAUAUUGGGCUAUCUUUUACCUUAGUUUUCAUGCUUUAGUUUUUAUACCACCAUAAUUUAAAAAAAAAUUGGUCUUAUAUUGGUAUCACGUUGUCGUUGUCGUCCAAAGACGGAUGGUUUCCGGAUAAUAACUUUAGUAGAAGUAAAAAGAAUUUUUUUAACACAAUGCUUGUAACCCUGAAAGGAAGGUUGGGAUUGAUUUUGGGGGUUAUGGUCCUAACGGUUUAGAAAUUAGGGGCCCAAAGUGGCCCAAAACAAGUAUUUAUCUAGUUUCAGGACAAUAAGUUGUGUAUAAGUAUUUCAAUUGCUCUGAUAUUGUACCACAAUGUUCAUACCAUAAAGUAGAAGGUUGAGAUUUAUUUAAAGGGUUAUGGGGCAAACAGUCUAGGAAUUAAGGGCCAAAAAGAGGCCAAAAACAAGCAUUUUUGUAGUUUCGGGACAAUAACUUAUGUAUAACUGUAUGGAUCUCUCUGACAUUGUACCACAAGGUUCCAUAUAAUGAAGGUAAGGCUUUGAUUUAGUUCAGGGUUAAUGUCACUGAACAGAAAGAAAUAAAGGGCCAAAAAGGGUGAAAAAAAAGCAAUUUUUCUAGAUUACAUCCAAUAACUUGGGUUUAAGUGAAUGGAUCUCUCUGAAAUUAUGCUACAAGGUUUCUUACUACAAAGGAAAGGCUGGAAUUGAGUUUUGGGGUUCUUGCUCCUAGGUGGGAGGGGGUUUCAAUAAGUUAGGGGUAAAAAAAGGGGCCCAAAUAAGUAUUUUUGUAGUUUUCAGUCAAUAACUUGUAGUUAAGUGUAUAAAUCUCCCUGAAAUUAUACCACAAGUUUCCAUACUACAAAGGGAUGGUUAAGGGGGUUAUAGCCCAAAUCAUUAAGCAAUUAGGGGCAAAAAAGGGGGAAAACAAUGGUUUUUAUGCCCCACCUAUGAUAGUAGAGGGGCAUUAUGUUUUCUGGUCUGUGGCUCCGUUCGUUCGUUCGUUCGUCCUUCCGUCCGUCCGUUCGUUCGUCCCGCUUCAGGUUAAAGUUUUUGGUCAAGGUAGUUUUUGAUGAAAUUGAAGUCCAAUCAACUUGAAACUUAGUACACAUGUUCCCUAUAGUAUAAUCUUUCUAAUUUUAAUGCCAAAUUAGAUAUUUACCCAAUUUCAAAGUCCAUAAAACAUGGAAAAUGAUAGUGCAAGUGGGGCAUCCGUGUACUUUGAACACAUUCUUGUUCUUGUUAAAGAACAAUUUAGACAAUUUAAAAGUAGUGUAAGGUAGGUAAUGCAAUUAAAAUUUAAAGAAUACUGUUAUAUAUAUAUAUAUGUUUGAUUACUUGAUUACCUCCCUUACACUACUUGUUUUCAAAAGUUUAAAGACGAAAUCUAUAAUUGCACAGUAUUGUGCAAAAGAUUUGUUAGAUCUUUGACCACAUUUAUAUUGUGACAAAAACCUAUAUUAUGUCAAAAUUUGAUCGCAAUCCAAAUUCAGACAGUAUUAAGCUUGAAUAUUGUGACCAAAUUUGCCCAAACUGUUCAGGGUUCAAUCUCUGCGGUCAUAUAAAGCUGUGCCUUGUGGAGCAUCUGGUUGUAAUUGUGGGUGUUUUUACCAUUUUGUAAAAUUGAAAUUCUUUUUUUUGUAUUGUACAACUUUCAACAGCUUUUCUUUGACAUCCCUACAACAUAUUCUCCAUAAUUUUUUUUGAAAUGUUUCAUAAUAUUUGAUAUUGGUUUUUCUUAGGAAGUAUUGUUUGAAUAUUACAUCAUUGCUCCUUUAGCAAAACUAAUACAAUUAGAAUAGACAGGAUAUAAUGUAUAUUGUGUUUUACUUUUCAUUAAUCUUUACAUUUUAGGUUAGGGAGAGAUUAUUACAUAAACAGUUGUCUAUAGAAAAAUCAGAAAAAGCAAAGAAAUUACGAGAACUCCGCAAAUAUGGCAAAAAGGUAAGAUUUUGAUGUUGCUGUUAUUAUAUACAAAAGUAUAUAUUACCCUGGUAGCUGGUUUUUGUUGAGUCUCCGACUUUAGUUGCAGAAAGCUUGACAUAGGGAUAGUGAUCCGGCGGCUGUGGCGUUAGCUAACUUCUUAAAAGCUUUAUAUUUUAGAAGGUUGAAGACCUGGAUGAUUCAUACUUUGUAUAUAGAUGCCUCAUGUUACGAAGUUUCCGUCAGUCACAUGUCCAAUGUCCUUGACCUCAUUUUCAUGGUUCAGUGACUACUUGAAAAAAAAGUUAAGAUUUUUUGUAAUGUUAAAUUCUCUCUUAUUAUAAGUAAUAGGAUAACUAUACUUGGUAUGUGCGUACCUUGCAAGGUCCUCAUGCCCGUCAGAAAGUUUUCACUUGACCUCGACCUCAUUUCAUGGAUCAGUAAACAAGGUUAAGUUUUGAUGGUCAAGUCCAUAUCUCAGAUAAUAUAAGCAAUAGGUCUAGUAUAUUCAGUGUAUGGAAGGUCUGUAAGGUGUACAUGUCCAACUGGCAGGUGUCAUCUGACCUUGACCUCAUUUUCAUGGUUCAGUGGUUAUAGUUAAGUUUUUGUGUUUUGGUCUGUUUUCUUAUACUGUAUGCAAUAGGUGUACAUGUCUAGCUGGCAUGUGUCAUCUGACCUUGACCUCAUUUUCAUGGUUCAGUGGUCAAAGUUAAGUUUUUGAGUUUGGUCAUUUUUAGCUCACCUGGCCCGAAGGGCCAAGUGAGCUUUUCCCAUCACUUGGCGUCCGUCGUCCGUCGUCCGUCGUCGUCGUCGUCCGUCGUCGUUAACUUUUACAAAAAUCUUCUCCUCUGAAACUACUGGACCAAAUUAAACCAAACUUGGCCACAAUCAUCAUUGGGGUAUCUAGUUUAAAAAAUGUGUGGCGUGACCCGGCCAACCAACCAAGAUGGCCGCCAUGGCUAAAAAUAGAACAUAGGGGUAAAAUGCAGUUUUUGGCUUAUAACUCAAAAACCAAAGCAUUUAGAGCAAAUCUGACAUGGGUUAAUUUGUUGAUCAGGUCAAGAUCUUUCUGUCUACAAAUUUUCAGAUGAAUCCGACAACCCGUUGUUGGGUUGCUGCCCCUGAAUUGGUAAUUUUAGGGAUUUUUUGCUGUUUUUGGUUAUUAUCUUGAAUAUUAUUAUAGAUAGAGAUAAACUGUAAACAGCAAUAAUGUUCAGCAAAGUUAGAUUUACAAAUAAGUCAACAGGACCAAAAUGGUCAGUUGACCCCUUUAGGAGUUCUUGACCUUUAUAGUCAAUUUUUAACCAUUUUUCGUAAAUCUUAGAAAUCUUUUACAAAAAUCUUCUCCUCUGAAACUACUUGACCAAAUUAAUCCAAACUUGGCCACGAUCAUCUUUUGGGUAUCUAGUUUAAAAAAUGUGUGGCGUGACCCGGCCAACCAACCAAGAUGGCCGCCAUGGCUAAAAAUAGAACAUAGGGGUAAAAUGCAGUUUUUGGCUUAUAACUCAAAAACCAAAGCAUUUAGAGCAAAUCUGACAGGGUUAAAAGUGUUUAUCAGGUCAAGAUCUAUCCGUCCUGAAAUUUUCAGAUGAAUCGGACAACCCGUUGUUGGGUUGCUGCCCCUGAAUUGGUAUUUUUAAGGAAAUUUUGCUGUUUUUGGUUAUUAUCUUGAAUAUUAUUAUAGAUAAACUGGAAACAGCAAUAAUGUUCAGCAAAGUAAGAUCUACAAAUACCUCACAUGAACGAAAUGGUCAGUUGACCCCUUUAGGAGUUAUUGCCCUUUAUAGUCAAAUUUUAACCAUUUUUCGUAAAUCUUAGUAAUCUUUUACAAAAAUCUUCUCCUCUGAACCUACUGGGCCAAAUUAACCAAACUUGGCCACAAUCAUCAAUGGGGGGUCUAGUUUAAAAAUUUUUGGCGUGACCCGGCCAACCAACCAAGAUGGCCGCCAUGGCUAAAAAUAGAACAUAGGGGUAAAAUGCAGUUUUUGGCUUAUAACUCAAAAACCAAAGCAUUUAGAGCAAAUUUGACAUGGGGUAAAAUUAUCAGGUGAAAAUCUUUCUGCCCUCGAAUUUUCAGAUGAAUCUGACAACCCGUUGUUGGGUUGCUGCCCCUGAAUUGGUAAUUUUAGGGAAUUUUUGCUGUUUUUGGUUAUUAUCUUGAAUAUUAUUAUAGAUAGAGAUAAACUGUAAACAGCAAUAAUGUUCAGCAAAGUUAGAUUUACAAAUAAGUCAACAUGACCAAAAUGGUCAGUUGACCUCUUUAGGAGUUAUUGACCUUUAUAGUCAAUUUUUAACCAUUUUUCGUAAAUCUUAGAAAUCUUUUACAAAAAUCUUCUCCUAUGAAACUACUGGGUCAAAUUAAUCCAAACUUGGCCACAAUCAUCUUUGGUGUAUCUAAUUGAAAAAAAUGUGUCCCGUGACCCGGCCUUCCAACCAAAAUGGCUGCCACGGCUAAAAAUAGAACAUAGGGGUAAAAUGCAGUUUUUGGCUUAUAACUCAAAAACCGAAGCAUUUAGAUAAAAUCUGACAGGGUUAAAUUGUCUAUCAGGUCAAUAUCUAUCUAUAUUUUCAGACAAAACAGACACCCUGUUGUUGGGUUGCUGCCCCAGAAUUAGUAAUUUUAAGGAAAUUUUGCAGUUUUUGGUUAUUAUCUUGAAUAUUAUAAUAGAUAGAGAUAAACUGUAAACAGCAAGAAUGUUCAGCAAAGUAAGAUCUACAAAUAAGUCAAAUGACGAAAAUUGUCCAUUGACCCCUUAAGGAGUUAUUGCCCUUUAUAGUUAAUUUUUAGCAUUUUUCAUCAAUUUUUGUAAAUUUUUAGAAAAUAUUUUCCACUGUAAUUACUGGGCCAAGUUCAUUAUAAAUAGAGAUAAUUGUAGCAACAAGAAUGUUCAGUAAAGUAAGAUCUACAAACACAUCACCAUCACCAAAACACAAUUAUGUCAUGAAUUUAUGUGUCCAUUGUUUAAUAUGCACAUAGACCAAGGUGAGCGACACAGGCUCUUGAGAGCCUCUAGUUUCUAAUACUAACGUGCAAUAUGUCAACUAUAUUUGGUGUAUUGAAAUAUUUUAUGAUCUAUAUGUCAGUUGUGCAGGUUUAAUUUGACCUUGACCUCAUUUUCACGGUUCAUUGCUCAGUGUUAAGUUUUUGUGUUUUGGUCUGUUUUUUUAUAUUUGUUGUAUUGAAGAAUUGUUAGCUGUACAUGCCUGCCUGGCAUGGUUCAUCUGACCUUUAGCUUAUUUUCAUGGUUCAUUGGUCAAUAUUUAGUUUUCUUGGUUAAUGUUAAGUUUAAAUGACAGUUGUAAUAAAGCUUUAUAUUUAGGACUUUCAAAAUAAUAUCAAUGAUUAGUAAAGAAGGCAAGACGUUUCAGCGUGUGCACUCUUGUUAUUAUAAGUUAACAGAAUUAUUUUAAUGAUAAUUUAAGUGUUUUAAAUAAUUUUAAAACAAGUUUUUGUCUCAAUUUAACAUCAGAUAUAAAAAAAGAAAGGAAAAAUAAGUUUUCUGAAUUGAUCUCAGAUGAAAAAAUGUAAUGAAGGAAAGGGAGAUAACUGUUAAGAAUUGCAGGUUUGUUUGUAUAAACCUUUUUCAUUGGUGUAUUCUUAACUUCUAAGUAUCACAGAUUAUAUUAAUUCUGUCUCACCUUAGUGUUUAAAAGGCAUCUAUAAAAAUGACUAUUUCAAACGCAUUGCAAUAUAGACGGUUAUCUCCCAUGCCAAGGUCUACCCAUUUAGAAAUAAAUUAAGGAUAUUUGGAAAGUGGUCAAUGAAUUCUGAAAGAUUAAGAAAGUUACAAUGAUAAUACAAUUGAGAAUGAGGUUUGUUGUUUCUAUAUUUCAGUCCCAAAUUUCGAUGCAAGGCAUUUGAAUACAUUUCAUCAACAACUUGAUUUAACCAUAUCUAACAAAACAAUUGAAGAAAUUUCUGCUUUAAUGCUUUACAAGAUAUAGAUGAUAUUUAAUGAUAUGUACUAAGGGAAUAAAAAAUUUCAAAUUCAAGGGAUCAUAUUCAUCAAUAAUAAUGAUUUAAGUUCAUGGCAACAAUUUGGAUUUUGGGAUAGACAAAUUCAAUUUCACCGUUAUAAUCACUUGAGUGUUUCAUAUCUUCUUUUUUUUAAGCUGGAAAAUUCAGUCUUAACUUUUGUUAUUGCAUGCAUGCUCAGAAUGUAUAAGAUUCACACUUUAUAAAAGUAUGUUUGUAUAAUUCUUUAAAAAAUGCAUUUGGAAAAUCUGUAUUGCAGGUUCAACAAGAAGUACUAUUAAAAAGACAGAAAGAUAAAAAAGAAAUGAUGGAGGCAGUAAAAAAAUAUAGAAAAGGUAAUUUGUUGGUUGAUGCAUUAUGUAUAGUGAUUAAAAGAUGUGGUAUGAUUGCCAGUGAGACAACUAACUCUCCACUAAAUAUAAAAUGAUAUUGAAGUUAACAACUAUUGGUCAUCAUACAGCCUUCAACGAUGAGCAAAAUCUAUACUGUAUAGUCUUUUAUAUAGGGCCAGAAAAUGACAAUUGUUAAACUAUUCAAAUGAGAAAAUCAACUAUCUGAUUUCUCUACAAAACAAAUUAUGAAAUACAACUAUGAAAUACAGCACCAAAUAAUAAUGACUGAUUAUGUUUAUAAAUUAACUGUUGAGAAUAUGAUGGAUACCCUAUUUUGGUAAAAGCAUGAUGACUUUCAAUGUAUUUUAUUUCUUAUUAGAAUUUUAUGAUUGCUAAAUUAUUUGAUUUUAAGAAUAAACAACAUGGAGAUUUCAUAUUUCUAACAUAGCAUGUCUCUGACACUAGUACAUGUACAGCAAGAAGUAACCAUUUAAAACCCAAUGUAAAAGUAAACAUAUUUCUGAUAGUUAUAAUUAAGUGUUUUGCCAUAUAGCAGGAGGAUUGACUAGCCACAAAACCAGGUUCAACCUGCCAUUUUUUUCUAAAAAUGUCCUGUACCAAGUCAGGAAUAUGGCAGUUUUUAUCUAAUAGUUCGUUUCUAUGUAUGUUGCAUUGUCUUUUGUUUUUUGUUGCACAUUAGUGUUUCUGUUGUUUCAUUGUUUUUCUCUCAUUGUUGAUGUGUUUCCCUCAGUUUUAGUAAUAACCCAGAUUUGUUUUCUCUCAAUCGAUUUAUGACUUUUGAACAGUAUAAUACUACUGUUGCUUUUAAUUGCCAAAUAAUAAUUAAAACAUAAUGCCCUACCUACGAUAGGAGAGGGGCAUUUUGUUUUCUGGUCUGUGUCUGUCCUUCUGUCUGUUCGUCCUGCUUCAGGUUAAAGUUUUUGGUCGAGGUAGUUUUUGAUGAAGUUGAAGUCCAAUCAACUUGAAACUUAGUACACAUGUUCCCUAUGCCAUGAUCUUUCUAAUUUUAAUGCCAAAUUAGAGGUUUUACCCCAUUUUCACGGUCCACUGAAUAUACAAAAUGAUUAUGCCGAGUGGGCAUCCGUGUACUGGGGACACAUUCUUGUUUUAUACUAUGUUAAAUUUUUACACAGCUUGUCUAACAUAGUGACAAGUUAGAGCUUAACAUGUAUUGUUUAAACAAUUGUCUAUUUUUAAGACUAUUAUAAAGUUGAGAAAAGCUUUUAAACACUUUCCAGAAUAUCUUACUGUAUAUUUUAUUUUUCAGGUCAAAAAAACAAAUUAGACUUUUUGGAUGAUCUAGAAAAACCAGGAUCUACAAAAAAACAAGGGGGAAAACAGACGACAGAUAAAAAGGAAAUUAGGUAUAAACUGGAAAAAAAAUUGUUUGACACAUGCUUUUUUUAGCAUACACUAUGCUAAGAACUAAAACUUGUAGACAAGAGUUCAAAUUUGGGCAAUGAUUCACUUACUGUUCUAGAGUUAUGUCCCUUUAUUACUUUAAAAAUUAUAUAUUUUUGUAUUUUUAUAGUUGAAACCCCCCCCUUUGUCCUGGUUUGGGAACCCCCUUUUUAAAAUGGCAAUGAUGAGAACCAAAACUUGCAGACAUAGUUUGAAUUUGGGCAGUGAGUCACUUAUACACAUUUUUAACUUUGAAAAAUUGGAUAUUUUUUUAUUUCCUCACUCUUAACAUAAAUUUUUCUUACCCACAUUCUAUGAAACUCAUUAAUAAUGGUAAGAACCUAAACUAGCAGACAGAGAGUUAUGUUGGCUAGUGAGUCACUUAACGUUCUAGAGUUAUGUCCCUGAAUGUUUUUAUUUCCCCACUCUUGCAUAAGGAUUGCAAUUUUUUUUCUAUUUUGCAAUCAAAAACAGCAUAUUUAAGUUUGAUAUUAACAAAUUUCCCAUGUAUGAGUGGAAACAUAUGACCCCAAAUUGUUUAAAAAAUUGCAUUAGUAUCUGUUAUAAAGCCCAGUUUGGUAUCAUUGGACAGCCUGUUUUAUUUAAUUACUUUCGUUUUAUAAUGGUCUUCAUACAUCAGCAGCAUCAAUGAUGAUAAGUCAUUAGAACCAAAAACCCAGAUUUAUCAAACAAAGCAAUCACUCCAAAAAACAGUUAUUUGCUGUAUAGUUAAUUUUGAAGACACAAACUUAAAGUGUGGAAUUAAAGAAGUUAAUCAGUUACUAUCAUCAAUUAAUAAAAAUGCACAAAAAGCACCCUGGCGAGAAUACUGAAAUAGAAAGCAUACAAUGUGCAUUUAAGUUUUGGUUAAAAAGUUUUUUUCUGAAAAUGCCUGUUCAUUUGAUGUUGGUUUUCAGCAUGUCCGGUGUUUGUUGUUUUAAAAUGUUUUUUUUUUCUUCACAAGAAACUUGGUUUAGUGUAACUGCUUGUUUAAACUGUAUUUUGCCUGAUAAAAUAAAAUAUUUUUCCUACCUACCGACCCUUCAGUCUGAAGGUACAGUCGGAAAACAGCAAACACACAUAUUUUUAAGGUUGGCCCUAUAUACUGCACUCAGUCAUUGAACAAUGCAUUCAAUCAACAUUUGUUCAUAAAAAGGAACUAUAUAUCUAGUGGAAGUUCAAUAGUUUAACUAUAGGAGGUUUUUCAAUCUAUGCGAAUUAAACUCUUGAAGAAUAAAAAAAGACAAAAAUGUACAUUGUUCAUUACUAUAAAGUAUUUGCAGCUGUUUUAAUAUUUGUCAUAGAUGGGAAUAAAUAUUAGAGACAAAUCUUCCUUUCAUUAUUAUUUUGAAUGUUGUGACAAAUAUGUGCUUUUAUUUAUUUUGGUAGGUCAAAUAAGAAAAGGAAAUAUAAAAAUAAAAAAUUUGGAUUUGGAGGCCAGAAAAAGAGAGGAAAACAAAACACUUCAGAUAGUGCAAGAGAUAUGUCAGAUUUUAAUCCAAGAGUAAAUCAGAAAAGACCAGGACAGAAAGUAAAAAAGGUAGAUAAAUUGACCAUACAAGUUAUAUCAACUGUCUAUCAGCAUAGAACUAAUGCAUUCACUAUUAUUUUUUUUACAGACUCAUUGUAUAUAGAUGAUUUUUUUCUCUUAUUUGGCUCAAAAUAAUUCAUCUUUAAAAUUUUAAAUUAAAAGACGUAACUUUUGAAAGUGUAUCUCAUUGAAUUCAGCCAACUAUCUUUUGGUCCUUAAAAGGCAUAAAAUAGUUGCCACAAGACUUUAAAAGCAUACAUCAAUAAUUCAUUUCAACUCUAAAGAACAAAAUAUAUAAAAACACUUUGAUCAAAACGAUGCAUAGAUAAGGUUAUGUGUAAUUACAGUUAAGGGGAGAUAACACUCCAAGUGUUGUAAGUUUUCUUGAAGAAAUUUUAAGAAGUGGUGAAAUCUAGUUAUUUUUGCAUUUCCAUUUUUUUAGUUCAAAGGGUCUUCAUUACCAUUUAAAAAUACCUACUCAAAGUGAUGAUUGGAGUGUUAGACUGCAUGCAAAAUAUAUGUUAUUGAUUUAUUUGAUCUCAGAAUAAUCAAUCUUUAGCCAUAUAAGUCUGUGAUAUAUAUACAUAUAUAUUUAAAAGAUCAUUUGGAAAUCUAUUCAAAAUCUCUUUCUCCUAAGCCAUCAACUUCCUUUAGAGCCCAGAUUCUUGGAUUGACUCUACCUAGGAAGGCAUUUUAGUAAGAAAUAAUUAAUAAUGUUCCAAUAUUUAUGUGAUAGCAAGUUUCUGACACUUGUUUUUCUUUUACAGGCAUCACAAAGCAGACCUGGGAAGUCAAGAAGACAGAACAUAAAAAACAGGAAAAAAUGAGAAUGAUAUUCCUGCCAUUAACAGUUUGAAUUUGAUAUGACAUGUUAAAGCUAACAGAAGAAUACACAUGUACCAUUUAGAUUGUUGAGCAAAUCAUAUUAAAAAAUAAAAGUGACAUUUUUUAAAUGCCAACCAUGUACAAAAUCUAAAGAGAAUAAAGAAUUUACAAGUAAACUGGUACUUGUAUUUAAUAUUCAAAUAGACAAUUUUAUUGUAAUACCUAUUGCAUCAUUAUUUCAUUAUUAUUAUAUAUAUAUUUUUCAUGUUGUGAAUGAGAUAAACACAUGAAUUCAACAGUGGACUCGUAUGUUCAGUUUGAUCAAUAAACCAGUCAAAAUAUCUAUUGAUUCAGCUUUAAUAUUGUUUUCAUUAUAACCCUGUCUGAUGGAGGGGUUAGACUGAUUUGCCCAUAUUUGUCCAUCUGUCCCAUCAAAUAUCUGUUGAAUUUUUGUCAUGAGCUAGAUAUCAGAGCUUCCUGAAAUUUGUUAUAAAGCUUCGUGUGAACAUGCUAAAGCUUGU